rnacentral:lncRNA from 1 species
UAAAAAAAAAAGUCUAGCGAAUAUCAGGGGGUUUUGUGCAAAUUGCCCAUUCCUGUUAAGGAAAUAGGCAACGUGUACUGGGAAUUACCCGAAUCCUUUCUCUAGUAGGAGUGACCGUUGCGAGGGUCUCCCUUUUUCCUACUUCGAUUCCGACUCCUCCUCGACAUGGAGAGAGCUUCGAGAGCUCCCACCCACGCACUAUAUCUACCUCCCAUGGAGGAUCCUCUCCUCCGCCUCGCUCGACUCCUCCCAUGGAUCCCUUCUCCGAAUCGCCCGUGGGGAUCCCCCGGAACCCUAACGCGCCCGCGCCCGCGCCCGCGCCGUCCUCCUCGUUGGGGCCUUUCGUCGAACACGUCGCGGGCGAGGAGGAGAACCCCGCCGCGCUCCCCUUCCCGCUCCUCCCCUGGAGAGCCCGGCGCUGCGACGUGUACCUCGGCUUCUCCGGCGCCGGCGACGGCCCGGCGGUCCGGCGAUUGGUGGCGUGGCUCCGCGCGGAGCUCGAGGCGCAGGGGAUCGCGUGCUUUGCGGCGCGCGGCGCCGGCGCCGCGAGGGAGGCCGCCAUGGGCGCCGCCUCGCUCGGCGUCGUCGUCGUCUCCGCGGGCUCCCUUUCGAGCCCCUGCAGCGUCGAAGAGAUCCUCAUGUUCUCGGAGAGGGGCAAUCUCGUGCCGCUGUUCUUCGGGGUAAAGCCCUCGAAAGAGGAUUCCGCCGCCUGGAUGAGAUGCGGCGGCUCGGAGAAGGAGUGCGCGGCGGCGUUGCAUGCGCUGUCGUGCGCAGCGGUGAGAUUGGAAGCCGAUGAGGGAAAUCUACGGGGCUGCGUCUUCGACGCCGUCGAGCUCAUCGGAUUGCGGUUAGGCAGGAAGUACGCGGCAGAAUCGGUUAGGCGGUGGCGAGAAUUGGCGGCCGACGAGUUCCCCUUCCCGCGAAAUGCUAACUUUGUCGGUAGGACGAGGGAGCUCCAUGAGCUUGAAUUGCUGCUCUUCGGAGAGGCGGCGAAUAGCCGAGCAUCGAUGAGCGCGGGCCCGUCAAAGCAGUUUGCAGAGAGCAGCAAAGGCGAAGGCGAGAUGCCGCCAAUGUGGGAGCAAUUCGAAGAUGACAUAGAAAGGAGCAGCGGCGGCAAUGGCGUGGCCUGCGUCUGCGGUGAUUCGGGUAUUGGAAAGACGGAGCUCUUGCUCGAAUUCGCGUAUCGGUUCUCGAAGAGGUACAAACUGGUUUUAUGGGCCGGUGGCGAGGUGAGGUAUCUCCGCGAGAACUACAUGAAACUGCUGCCUCGGUUGGGCAUCGAUGUCGGUUUCGAGAGUGAAGUUUCCCUGGGCAGUAGCAGGCGCGGGAGCUUCGAGCUUAUGGAAGGAGACGCCGUUGGCAGGGUCCGAAAGGAGCUCGCGCGAGACAUUCCUUUCCUUCUUGUGAUUGAUAAUUUGGAAAGCGAGAAGGAUUGGUGGGACGGGAGAUCUAUCGUGGAUCUUCUGCCCCGUUCCGGCGGGGGCACCCACGUGAUCAUCUCCACUCGGUUGCCCCAGAUAUCGAUCGGUAAGCCGCUGAGAUUAUCGCACUUGCCUCCGUCGGAGGCGCUGUCUUUGAUGAAGGGGAGCUCUCGAGAUCUGAGAACACAAGAUAUUGAUGCUCUGAGGCUCAUUGAAGAGAAGAUUGGUAGGCUCCCUCUUGGUCUUGCAAUAGUUGGGGCAAUCUUUUGCGAGCUCCGAAUUGGACCACUCGAGCUACUAAAUGCGAUAGAUGAUAUGCCGAUGAGAGAAAUUUCCUGGGUUACGAAGGACGACGUUUUGUUGAGCCGCAAUCCCUUCCUCGUGCAGCUCCUCGACCUGUGCUUCUCGCUGUUGGACCGCGAAAAGAAUCUCGGAAAGCUGGCGUCGAGAAUGAUCGAGGCCAGCAGUUGGUUUGCGCCCUCGCCGAUCCCAAUCUCGAUGCUUGCUCUCGCUGCUCGUGGAAUUUCCAAAGGGCGUCAGCAGCUUACGCAGGUUCGGAAGGGGUUUGCUCGUGUGCUCUCCUGUUCCUUGUGCAUCGCACCUGCUGCUACUAAGAACAAUCCAGAAGCCGAAGCCUCUUCUAUGUUGAUCAGAUUCGGUUUGGCGAGGAGCUGCGCCAGAGAAGGGUAUCUGUCAUUCCACGACAUUGUGAAUCUACACGCGCGCAGAAGAAGCAAUGCUGAGUUUGCUAGAUCAGCGGUCGUUCGUGCUAUCAUUAAAGAAGGAUCCGUCUCGCGACAUUCAGAUCAUGUUUGGGCUGCUUGCUUCUUGCUGUUUAGAUCCGGGACAGGUCCCGUGACCGUCGAUCUUCCGACCCGUGAUCUGCUGUCCUUCAUCAAGCGGUUCGUGUUGCCUCUUGCGUCCCAGAGCUUCACAAUGUUCUCUAUGUACAACGCGGUCCUCGAGCUCCUACGCUUGUCCUCUCGAGCACUCGAAGUUCUAGUCGAUUCUUUCCUCUCCGAAGAGAAAAAGUAUGCAUCAUCAUGCUUCAAUCCGAAGAGGAUGUCGAGUGUAGAGCCUAAUCCUUUGCUUUACUGCGAUCUCGAGCGUGUGCGUGCGACGAUACUGGAUAGAAGAGCGAUGAUUAUGAUGAGAGGUUGUCAGCACGACGUCGCGGAGCAACUUUGUAGGACGGCGGUCGGCAUCAAGGAGGUUAUUUACGGACCGGAGCAUCCGGAAACGCGGUCGACUUGCAUACUCAUGGAGCAGUCCAUAAUGUGCCAAUCGAAAUUUUGACUUGUUGAUCAGCAUUGUAUGAUUUCUUAUAUUCAAUUUAAUGAUUUAAUCUGCAUCAAUUUGCAAUGUUUUUUAGUAUAUCAAUUACAGACAACAUAAGUUCCAGCUCCAUACAAUUAUUGCACUUUGUUAAUAUUUCAUACAUCAAUUUUGUGUUUUGAACGAAUCAGGCCAUUCGAACUACACCUUAAGAAAGAAGUAUGUCACAACUAAGGAACUUCUGUUCUCUCUUUCAACAAAUAAAUAAAUAAAAGAUAAAAAAAAAAACUUCAAAUACCCCCAUUGUGGUUUCACACUUUCUCACUUUAGUACCAUAUGAUUUAAUAUUCAUUAAAAGAAAAAUAAAACCACAGAGUACUAAUUUGAUAAAAAAAUAAAACCACAAGAUACUAACUUGAUACAAAAAUAAAACCACAUAGCACUAACUUGAUACACGUUAAAUCACAGGGUACUAAAGUGAGAAAGUGCAAAACCACAUGAUACUAACUUGAGACUCUGUAAACCACAUGAUAUUAAAAUAAAAAAGUGCGAAACCACACGGGGGUUUUUGAAGUUUUCCCAAAAACAAAGUGGGGGAGGGGAUGAUAUGCGUUUCGGUAUUGGCCAAUUGAGAUAUAUAGCAAAUCAAAGAAUAUAGACACUGCCAUUGUAAACCAAUGUCCUCUAGAAAACCAAAGUAGCCGUGACACGAUGAACACGUGAGUUUUGCAGUUACUAUUAACUCCUAACAUGGGAUUCAUUCAUAAACUUAUAAUACAUUCUCAUUUCCACAUGAUCUUUAGUUAUAUAGUAAAGACAAUUGAAACCACCGGUGCUCGCGACAAUCGUAGAUGCAACAGGCACAGCUUAAUACCAAGUGUAUGGUACAAAAACGACUUUGGCCAUUGAUUUAUGCCUCACUCAUCUGAUAGCUCCCAGUAGAUUUGCACCACCAAGCUUCGCCCCCUCUAAUUGCUGUUUCACAGUGUAAUAAGAAUGAAAAAUUUCUACACCAACUCGAUCUAAGUAUGAGGAAAAAGGAACUGGAAUGAGUGUAUCCUACUUUUAACGUUUUACAUAAUGAUGCCAUAAUCUUCUGUGUUUUUGCAUUUUUCAGACCAUGUGACAUAUCAACGCACCAUAUUAUCAUAGUACCCAUUUAUUUAUUAGGUACUUGACAUGAAUUAGAAUACCACUAAGCUGGGUGGGGACAGGUUCCCAUUGGUGAUCUCGCAUUAAUGCCGAAAAGAAAAAAAACAUAAGUAAAUAGUGGAUGGAUAAUGAUCCUAUAAAGAAUGUAUUAAGGUAGAUAACAAGUCGCAAAUGCUAUAUGUGUGAGCACGUGAGAUUCGUUAACAAAAUUUAUUUACUUCUUUUAUUCCGAAUCAUGCAACCAAAUGAGGCAAAAUUUGGAAGCAGUCAAAGCUAGAAGAGCAAGAAUAACAGGUGCUUAAGAACAACAUAUUAACUUUUUUUUUGACAAAGGAACUUUUGUCUCGGGAGAAAGGAUAUAACUGUAGACUUACAGUUUCGCGCAAAUCGACUUCUCGCAAGUAAGCCCGCUGAAGAUUUGCACCCUGCAAAUUCGUACCAGCCAACUUUGCUCCCUGCAUAUUAAACGAGAAAUGCAAAUUGGAGAAUUGCAAAUAAGUACUAAUUAAAAAAGGCGAGUGCUUCCCUCUUUUAAUGAAAUAUUUUGCCAAAUUUAGUACAUUGUCUAACAAUUUCAGAAAUAAAUGUAGAAAGGAUACGGCUAAAAGACAUAAUUAGGAAGAUUGUAAAUGUAAAAAAAAAAAGAAAACUGAUUAAAUGGAACAGGUUAACCUAGGACGAAUCAUCUUGAUGACGUAUCUUCCAACAUUACUUCAUUUAUAGCUUAUACAUAUCUUUAAGUGAGGACAAGCUUAGGCAUAUAAGCACCAAUGAACAGUUCAAAUGCAUUGUCAGACACCACAUUAAUUGGAUAUCAAAGCUAGGCAACAAUCACAAAAAAUAAUUUCCAUACUGCAUAAGCAGCAGCAGAUACUCUUUUCUGACAUGUGAAAAGUCCCUUCUUCCCAUGGAUACAUUCUAUCCUAGAGAAUACGAGUGUUUCUAUUUUCUUUUUUUCCGAAUAAUGAGGUCAGAAGAAAAUUUACAUUUCUUGACAUGAAUUACAGUAUUACAGCUUUCAACAUUCAACACAGCAGGCACAAUAAGCCUUUUACCUUGAGAUUAGCUCCUUCUAGAUUUGCUCCUUUUAGGUUAGCGUCAACAAGGUUCGCACUCUGAAAAUCAGCAAUAAUCAACUGUUACAUCUUUAUCAGUCUCAACGUUAAUAAACCAGAAGGUAAACAUGAAGCAUCGAUUUAUAUACAAUAACCUUUGUCCAUUCUGUGAAGGAAGCAUCAAUUUUUAUCAUGCCAAACAGUUAAAUCGAGCUACCGAUCACAUAGUGUAUAACUUUAUUUUGCUAUAGCUUACAUCAAUAUCCAAUAUUUGAGUAUUGAAAGUACAACGAAAGGUUAGUACAACACCUCGCUCCAGUACUGAUCUUAUACUGCUCCAUUGUGAUGAUUGUACACAACCAAGCGUUGCAAAGUGAUACGCUUAAUAUAGGCAUUAUUUGAAGAUAAAUGCUUUCACUUUAUUAAGGACAAUACAACAGUUGAUAUCUUCUCUUCGGUUAUUCCCAAGUACUAUUACUCAUCAACAUCAAGUUGAUGAAAAGAAGGUAAUACAAAUGGUUUGAUUAGCAAAUCAGUUUAUUGCUCAUUUCUCUUCUCCUACUUUCCUUUUCCUAAAAGCUCUUUUAGGUUUAUAGAGAUAAAAUUAAAAGCUGUCUGUCUAUGUUAUAUUCAUAUUUAGACAAGACAACAAGGACAUACUUAGAAAGAAACAGGAAAGUUUUAAUUUGUAGAAGCCAACUCAGUGGUACAGCAUGAAGGGAAAAGGAUGCCAAGAUUCAUGUUCCAACUCUUGAAAACAAUUUAGUGAUAUGACUCUUUCCUUAAUUUCCCAGAUAGGCAUGUUAACCACAGAGUGCUGUACGUUUAGAUGAUUGAAAUCAGAAACCAUGAUAACUGAGCUACUAGUUUAGAACUUCUUUGGAAGUCAUUGAAGCACCGAUAAUAGAGUCAUCCACUUGCAAAGACUAUAAUAUACCUGAUGAAAUUUAUCAUUUUUUUUUGUGAUGGUAAAAUCCAUGUCAGAAGGCAUUUUUUGGUUAGUUAGUACAAAUACAUUUUUGGUUAGUUAGUACAAGUCAUGUCAGUCAGUCUGAAAAGAAACAAUAGUAAAUAUGCGAUUGCCAAAAAGAUAAACAGUCCUCGAACAUAAGAGAAAUUCUAUGGCUUUACUGUAAUCAUCAACUGAAAUGCCAUAAUGUAUUGCUGUCUAUAACAGAACAAACUAUAUAAAACCGAUAAAGCUCAGUUAACCUGCAAAUGCGCUGAUCGAAGGUCUGCUUCACAAAAGCUACAUUCUUUUAAGCAUGCAUCUGCAAAAUAAAAAUUGUUUGGAUCUAACUGUCAGUCACGAAUAUAGAGCCUUAAGAACAUCAAAGAAUCACAACGAAUAUUACAAAUGUAUAUAAUUCGAAUAAACAGCAUGAAAAGGAAAAAAUAGCGGAAGCUCACUAAUUUUUAUUAAAGAAAUGACCUUGCAAGUUUGCACUCUGAAGGUUUGCCCUAUCUAAUAUAGCUCCGCGAAGAUUCGCUCCAAUAAAUUCACAUCUGUUAUUGACGACACAGAAAAUUAGGGACUUCCGUUGUCAAAUUUGAUGUGGAAAAAAGAGGAAGAGAGAAAACAAGUUGACAUUGAUUUCAAUUAGUGCAAUUCGAAAUAUUAUACAAAAUAAUGAACAAUAGAGAACUUGACUAAAAUAUUGAUUGACUGUAAAAUUGUAAUUCGAAAUAUUAUACAAAAUAAUGAACAUUAGAGAACUUCACUAAAAUAUUGAUUGACUGUAAAAUUGUAAAUGCAGUUAUGCAUCAUGAGUAUCAUUAUGGAAUCUACAGUGCCUAUACAAAGACCAUCAUCAUGCAGUGUGCCUUGACACAUCAUUUACAAAAACAGGUUUUUCUCAAUAAGACUUUAAAUUGCGCCAUGAAGACAAUCAGGAGGCUUUACGAAACAGAAAAAACAAAUAUAUAAUGCGGUUUCAUAUAAGACUAAUUAUUAUAAAUAGGCUGAGAAACUGUCCGAGAAAAAAAAUGGUGUACACUGUUUUCUUGCCUUUUCUAUUCUUUUUUCUCUCUAGAAAGGAUGAAGCAUUAACCGGUCUUAUGAUAAUAUAACAGAAUGUAAAAUAUACUCAAUGUUACACAUUCUAUAAAGAAGCACAGAUCACUGAAGCAAUGACGAAGAAGUAUCUUACUCACGCAAAAUAGCAUCAUGGAAGAUAGAACCUUCAGCCUUCACGUCCUGAUAAACAAAUAAAGUUAGAAUAUAUCCAAAUAUUAAUGAAGCGCACAAAUUACCAGAAAAAAUAGUUUAGUUUUUGUUUCAUUAACAGCAAAUAGGUUGUACAGUAUUAGUCAGCAAGAGUGGGUCAGUUGAUUGUACUUCCAAUGAUACAAAGAAUGUGGCAUAAAUUCUAGGUUAGUACAAGAGGUAGGCACCAAGAAAACCUCUUCUUAAGCAAAGGAACUUCAUCCGGAAAACUGGUGGUAAAAUUUAAAGCAUUAUUUGCUGCAGAACCAAAUAAACAUAUCCUACCCCAAACUUAGCUUUCUGAAGGUUAGCGCAUGAAAAGUUGGUUUUCUCAAUGCACGCAUAACUGAAGUCGACAAACGACAGGUCCUGCAGAUCACAAAAAAAAAGAAUGCUAAAUUUUCUCGUAUGUCCUUUCCUAAGUGAUAUUACCAGAUACAUUUCUUGACAGAGGCAUAUAGAUUCAUUGGAUCUAGUCAAAUACAAUGUGAUCAAAAUUACUGAAUGUGAUCUGCCUCUACCAAAAUUGCAUCUGUUAAUAGCAUUUCCACUUAAGGGAUGUAAACACUAUAAUGUGGCACCAUAGUAAAAGAAAAUUUUACUUAAAUUUGGAAUUGACAACUUUAAAAAACAUGUUUAUUCUAAAAAGUUAAAGGAGUUCUCUAAUUAGCCAACUCUAAGAGCUUACAAGCUUAGAGAGAUCCAGGCGAGAAAGAUUCACACCACGAAAUCUAACUUUUUCAUUCUGGAUGCAUUUGAUAAUGUCUGUUCGUGUCAACUCAGGUUUUGAAGUAUCUUCAUCUUUCUUCUUAUUCAUAUUUGCUUUUAUGUAGUCAGCUAACCCCUGCAAAAUUCAAUAGCAGCAACAGUAGUGAAUUGAUGAACACUGAUCCACCACAACUAAAAUAAAAAAAUGGAGCAAAACAGAGGAAAUAGAUACUUGCAACAUAUCAAAUAAAUGCCAACACAUGAACUCUCACACUUCCAUCGUUUACAUUGGUCAAAUCAGGGGAUCGUUCUCUUAAUAUCAUGAGGAUGGAAAAAUGACAUACAACUUACCCAUCCUUGCACUUAUUCAUCAUGUCAUUCAACCUUCUACAAAUUACUUCCAACAAGGUAGAAUAGGACUUCAACAUGCAUAGGUUCAUCAUUCAUGAGAUAAACUCUUUAAGUCACAAGAACUAUUCAUGUGAUAAAUCACAGAGUUAGCUAACUCUCCGAACUCCAAACUAGUCAAUUUGAUGACAAAGAGGUGAGAACUUGCAAAACCAACCUACCAACAUAUUUUGCACGAAGAGACAUCUAAACGUUAUUAUUAUGUGCAACUGAAAUAACAAACUCCAGGUGUCCAAUACCUAUGCAGCUACGCUGCAUAAUCUUCUGUCUUUCCACUUACAAGGUGCACCGGGUGGAUCAUAAUCUUUCCAUGAUUUUUAUCCCUUUGGGUAGGCUAAGAGGAUUGAUAAUGCCCUACUACAUUCUCCAUUGAUGCUCAUGGUUUGCUAAACAAUACUUAACCAUGCAAAGAAACAGGACAUUGAUAUAACUCACUAACACCAGUCACGUCAGCACUGAAAUCAGAAAUAUUUUUAUUUAAACUUUGUAACAACCAUGGAGAACGUUAUUUACAAGUAAUUGAUAGUAUUCUGCCUCUCGCAAUAAUUCAUGGUAUUCUGAUUCUUGGAGGGCAGGAACUACACCAUCUCUCAGCCAAUUGAGAAUAUGCCUGAACUGUUUCCCAUCCCUAUCAACAAAUAUCAUUCCCUGCAAAAUAUCAGCAUAAUCAAACAAUAAAAGGAUGAACCAUAUAAUUUCCGCAAGAGCAAACAGAUAGGAAGUCAUAAUCUAUAUAAGAGCAGUACAAGGCAAACAUUCAGUGAGAAAAAGUAUUGUAGAACAUAGAAGAAGGAUCAGCCAGCAGGCAAGAGCAAAACAUGGAUAAUGAAAGGAAUAACAUGACUUUGUUAUGCAAAGCCGUCACAAGAUAAAAGUAAGAAAAUUCUUGCCAAAAUGGUGCAGAAACUUUUCAUGCAAAAGAAGAUGAUGCUUAAAUAUCUAUGAAGUCCCACCAAGAACAAAUGAAUAAUUAUGCAGAAUGAUCCAGGAAAGGGAGGGGUUGAAGUAGAGGAGCUAAAGCCUGUGUGAUCUUAUUGUCCAUGGAUCAAGAUCUUGAGUCACAUACUGCAAAAGCACAUGUAUUUGUGAUAUAUUAUUGCCAUUUGGAAGCACCACAUACCGAGCAUCAAUGUAUCUUCUUAGUGCUUAUACAUAUUUAAGACCAUUAUGGAACUUUCAGCACUACUCUCUCUAUCAAGUGUUGCUAAUACUGUUAUGAGGUUCGCUGAGGUAAGUUCCCAAACAACAGAAGAUAUCAAUAUGCAUGAAGGUAAAAAUCAAAGGCAAAAUGCACCAGUGGUCCUAGCCCUUUAUCAGUGGUUUGAAUUGGCAUUGACUUGUGUAUAUUUGUACUCUGGUCCAUGUUACUAGGUUUCACAACAUGAAGUCAACUCGUUUAAGGAACUCUACCUAGUAAAUUCAGAAACAAAUAUGCACAUUCACUAGUAUUUCAAAUAAAAAAGACAGAUACACCAAUUUAUUGCAAACAUUUGACUAUGUAAAUGUGAAGAUAAAAUGCUAUUUUCUCGCCACGAAUAUAGUAUUAAGACCGAUGGAACAAGAACUCAAGUGACAACGAGGGCUUCAAGCACAACUCAAGUAACUGAACAGAUCAUCAAACUGCGGAAUAACAUGAUCAUGGAAAUUACUACUUCAUCAAGAAAUACACAGUACCGUUUCAGAGUCCUGAAUAAUUGUAUGCCUGCCACUAAACAUCGCCGCGAGCAUGGAAUCAGGCUCACGCUGAGUAAGUGUAUCGAUAGUUGUUGCAUACUUCUUGCCCCCUGUCAGUUUGCACAGAUGUUUGUAAGCUCUAAGCACAAGGAAGCUACGAAUUUGAGGAGUCAUUUGACUUAAAAAUUCUUUUAAAAUGAAGCAUGUUCCUUCUUCAGAUAACAAGAAAAAGUAAAGUAUACUUUAGUAGACUCCGGGCCGAUUAUCAAUACCGAUUUCAACAAUUGCACCUCCAGCUCUUUGCGCACCACAAAUGAAGCGGACCGAUAAAAGGUUACUUCAAUUGCUUAACCGCCUAUUUGGCGCCCAUUUUGCUUCUGCUUUCAGCAACCGUCCAGCAAAGCAUUCAACAAAUAGAAAAGUAUCGUCCUUUUGCUCUAGCAGGGAACAACAAUGACAUUCUGCGGCUCAAAAGCAGAAGCUUUAAUUUGGUGCAUCUACUUCUGUUGCAGAGAGAAUCAGUCGAAGUAAAAUCUUUUACGAUAGUACUUCUUCUAAAAGUACUAUUCUCACAACACUUCAUCCAACAGAGAUGCACUCUCCAGCAGGGCGAACCAGGCCCUACUCCAAUUGGCGAAUUCGCCUAGCUCCUAGUGCCGAGCACUACAACAAUUUACACUGCUCUAGCCCUAGCUACGAACCUACGAUCACCAAAACUUGCUAAAACAACAGAUUAGCGAGAUCCUAGUCCAUCUCCGAUCCACACGUCACAGCUACCGCAUAGUGCAAUAAAAAUUUAGGGUUUUGCGCUACAAAUGGCCUGUUUCCACCCAUUCCAAUCGAUCAAAUGCGAAAAAAAAAAACAAAAAGACGAAUCAAAAGGAAAUAGUUGGAAAAAUCGAUGGGAGAUGGGAUUGAGAUCGCGAGAGAGAGAGAGAGAGAGAGAGAGAGAGAGAGAGAGAGAUCACCGAUGUUGAGGAGGAUUGGGGAAGGUGAGAGGGGGGCGCUCGAACCCAUCGCUCCGACUCUCCCUCCUCUUCCUCUCUCUCUCUCUCCCUCUGCGUCUCCUCCCUUCGACACUUCGCAAUAAGCUCGCGUCGAACCCUUGAUCGAGAACUCUUUUUCCAUAGACUUGGUCCACCACGUGGCCGUGAACCGCAUCGAUCUUAGUACACUUACUUGAUCUUUAAAAGCUAAGAUAAAUUUAGAGACAAUUAGUUUUCUAUAGUUGUUUGAUAAUUAUUAAAAAAUAAUAAUAAUUUAGGUCUGGAAAAAUGAGCUUUUUUUUUUUGUUAUAGUUUUAAGGAUUUGAAUAAUAUAAGAGACUAAACUGAGAGAGAUGAUCUUGCGGUCUACGGUGACGUGGUAGACCCGGUCCAAAGGAGCCGCGCUUCCGAUCCUACCCCUGGUGAGGGACUCGUAUUCACAAGAAUGCCCCUCCAAGCCCAGUAAUAUAAUGUGGCCUAGGCCUAGGCCCAGCCCACGUUUUUAGUAAGUUAACGGCGUAGGGUUGGGUUCGCCAAUUUUGUUGGGUUGGGUUCGGCGUAGUGUUGUUUUUUUUUUUUUUUUUAAUGAAAUAAACUCAGUGAAAUAUAAAAUAAUUAAACUUCGAAAUUACGAUCUCUAAGUUAAAAAUCUGAAGUAACUAGCUUAUUGUGUUAUAGCUAUCAAAGACUAUUUGUUAUAAGAUAGUAUACCACCGUAUAUUUGAAAAUGAAUUUAGCUGAAAAUAUAAAGUAACUAUACUUUAAAUUUAAGACUUCGGAUACCAAUUCAUCAACUCCUUUAUUGCCUACGCUAGAGACGGUCGGAAAACAUAACUAUAACUGUUACUAAUUAAAGUCUAUUGUUAGAUCCUUGUUACUUAUCUUGAUAAUAAUUUAGAUUUGCGGAUAAGAGUUAAAACUUACUACUUCUUGUUGUGUAAAUGUCACAGAGACACAAAGUUUCCAACUCAUUCUACAGUAGUUUUUUUUUUUUUAGCUUUUCUUGGGGUGUUGUUUAUUUAUUUGGGAUAUGUUCUGCAGUUUUUCUUGUGAUUCUAACAACGCAAAUUGAAGAAGUGGUGAGAGUAGUCUCAACUCAAAGCAAUCUGGGUACAAAACAUGAUUUAUUAAAAAGAAAUGUAGAAAAGUAAAUAAUUUUGGGUUUAACUAGAAAUUUACUCCCUGUGGUUUCAUAAAGAUUUUGAGUUUGUCCUCGUUAAAAUUUGAUUUGAUUUUGAUUUUAUCGUCCAAAUUUCAAUUUUGAUAGUUGGUCUAUGAGGCUUAAUUCUGGUUUCCUGCACAAAGUCUCAAAUUUAUUGUAGUGAUUGCACAUAUUUUAUAAACAAAUAGUUUGAACAGCACACAAUCUUGUUUUGAGACUCGCACAAGCGCUAUUCAACAGUUCAUACUUUAUAUUGAAGUUGUUCAAAUAUGACGCGUGCCGUUAAAUUUAUUCACUAGUAACUACUGAGUAUUAGUGUGAGAAAAUUUUAUUUUGGUAGUGAGAGAAAAUUUCUUCUGCAGCAGGUACAUCACAUAUGAUUAGUACCAAACUAAUCCUAUUUAGCUAUAUUAGAUCGUGACAAGCUCAAUGUAGCAUAGUAUGCUCAUUUCACAUUAAAAUGAUGUUAAAGAAAAAUUUUACAGCUCAAACUUUUUAUGCAAAAUGAAUUUGCACUUUUUAUAAAACAAAACGAGUACUAUUUCUACAUGGAUGUUUUUAACAACUGUAAUGUUACUUUCCUGACGAACUGAGUAGAAGUCUGUGGCGAGACCGACGAAUCGCCGAAUUCACAUAAAGAACCCGACUUCAAUAUUAUCGAGAGGCGAAUCAUCUGCCGACAUUCAAUUUGAAUGUUAAUUUGGCGGCCAGUUAAAGUCGGCAGCGAAAAGGGUUCAGUUGCAGAAUUCUACAGUUAAAGCAUUAUUCGAUCACAAAGCACAAGCAAACAAUUCAAUUUCUCGCCAGCAUUCGAAAAACAAGAACAUUCAAACUCAAUGUCAUGAAAAGGAAGCAUGAUUCAAUUUCCCACCAAUAUGGCAGAAGCAGAGCAUCUACAGAUGAACAGACAUGUUUGUCGCCGCCCAUAGAAGAUUACACAUUUAAGACCAACAAAGGACAUUUAAAGGGGAUUACAGUAUCGAGUUUAAAUACAAUUUCUGUUCAAAUUAUUUGUGAUUACAAGUUCGUGCAACAUCCACACAAAUCUACAGGGCAGCCAAAUGGGUUUUUCCGGCAGCAGCAAUCCUUUUGGAAAAGCUCGAUCACGAGAACAAGAAUAUAUUCCGAAAGCACCCACCGACGACGCGAAUGAGAAAGUGCGAUCCCUAUAUCUCCAAAAGCAUUUAGUUUUCUUCUGAAGCCACCUUCAUAUCUUCUUAAUCUUCUCGGCUUUUACUACAGGAUUCUCCUUGGCUAUCGCCUCGCGACCAACGGUCUUGUAAUCAAAGGAGCAUUGGUGGGUCUCGUAAAAGCGGUGAGCCGAGCAAAACGUGCCCCCACAACGACACUUAAAUCCAGUAAGACCCACCUUUUUUCGACACAUAAAGCAUCGGUUAGCCGCUCGGCUCUUCCCAUGAUCCUCCACUUCUUUACUCUUAGAGAUCACAAGACGGGUCUCGUUGUUGUUCUCCGAGCUUUCCACGAGAGGUUCAAUUGGAGCACAAGAAGAAGAAGAAGAAGAAGAUUCAACCGUAGGCAUGUUUUCGACUUUAGCAACAGUUGGAAUAGCAGUCUCUUGCUGCUUCAUCAUGAAGUCUCUAUAGCAUUUGGAGCAAAGAUUGUUGGUGACCGCGCUUCCGAAGAAGCCACAAUUGUUGGAACAAAGGAUCGGCACUUCGGGGGUUCGGUAUUCGGUCUCGUCGGUCUCUUUCUUCCAGCUCUCCUGGGCCAUUCUUGGCGACACACACAAGACUAAUACGCGCGUCGAAUUAACCCCCCGAACAAGAAGCAAAUUUUAUGCUUCAACAGGAGAGAUGAUUAAAUAGCUACUUCUCUUCCAAUAUUACGCACCGAUUAGCCAAUGUUUGUUCCUGAAUUUCGCAGAAAUAGAGCCCAAAUUUAAUGCAAUCACAUAAAAAGAGUAAUGAUAUUUAAUAACCUAAGUUAACAACUAUAUAUUAUGAAAAUUCAAAUAUUUCUGAAUUUCAAACUGGAAAAGGUGUAAAAUGGUUACUGUGUGAGCUUUUGCGGGCACUAAAUUAUUCAUCAUUGCAUCAAAAUUGCAAACCAUACAAGAUAAAAAUAAGAAGAUUAAAAAAUUGACCCCUUUUUUUGUAGAAGAGAGUUAUGAAUCAUACAUGAAGUUAUAAAAUUUCAACUAGAAGGAAUUAUUUAUGACAUAUGAAGAAGAUCUGAAGCAGUAUCCAUUUUCUAAAUAAUAGGUGAUUAAAUUGAAUCAAAUUUGAAUUUGGUAAAACCUAAACCAUAAAAGGGCUAUUUUUUUUUUUCUCUACGUAGAUGCUUAUGCACUAAAAAUCUCUUCAGGAUAAUUCAAAGCAGUAAAUCAACACCUCACACCAAAAUCCUAUUAAAUCCCAAAUCUCCCAAUUUGGGAUUUUUCCCAUCCACCCAAGUAAGAAAUAAAAUAAAAUAUCAUAAAAACAAAGAAAUUGGAGAAAUUCAGAUAAACUUUUUUUCAAAAUCCCAUCUCAAUUCCAACCAUUACAGCUCAAAUCUCUCAACACCCACCUCAAAAAUGAACCAAUUAACACCAAAAAAUUUGAGAAAAUUUGCAAUCAAACACGGGACAGAAGCAAGAAUCGAUAAAAUUAAAACACGGAUUAUUGGGGAAAGGAAAGAGAGACCUUGGAUUCGUUGGACGAUCCGAUUUUGCUCGAGGAUGGGGAAGUGAUUUCGAUUCGUUAGGUUAGGGUUUUGAGAAAUUUGGGGCUAACUUUUUCUUUUUUUUUUCCAAUUUAAAUUUUUUCCGAUCCCAUUUGCGUAAGGGAGAAGUGGUGGAGGUGGGUGGUGGGUGGGGGAGAGUUGGGUGGACCGUAAACUGCCCGAGCUGCCCGGAACCGUCCGGGCAGCUGCUCGCAUGUCACUAAUAAUUCGGUCAAAAUGUAGGGAGACCCCUAAACUAUAGCAUAUUUUUACUCCCCACAACGUAGUUUUUUUUUUUUUUAUUUUUUUUUAUUUUUAUAUGCAACACGAUUCAGCUCAUCCGUAUAAAAAUACAUCGAGAUAUUUCACUAUUGAUAGUUCAAAUGCAUUUUAUCUGUGACUAGUAGCGAAAUAUUUUCUAAAUAGACUAUUUAUGUGCGUAGAAUAAUAAAAAUAGAUAUUUUAUCCGUAAAAUAUAUAAAUGUAUUUUUUAUAAUAGAGCAUUAAUAUUUUUAUCUUUAUCAUAUAAAGAAUUUAUUUACUUUAGUUUGUGAAAAUUUUUAGAAUAAGAUUGCCAACGGAUCUCUCCAAAAAAAAUGUUCAAAUUAAAAAUACAGAGAGUUCAUUUUUGGGAUUACUUCUUAUAAUUUUUAUUAUUUGUAGUUGAAUUAAAGUAUUUUUAAAUAAAUAUAGUUAUCAUAAUUGACCUUAGAGCUACGAAUUUAAUAAUUUUUUAAAUUUUUUUAGAUCAAAUGAUGUAAAUAAAAAAAAAAAGGUGAUCAGAUAGUGUCUAAUAAUAAUAUUAAAAAUAUAAGAAAGCUUUCUAAAAAAUACGUACAUUGAGAGGGUCUCGGUGCAUUGUUACCCUAAUAAUAAUUUCUUUUGGAAUUACAGAGGUCUUUCAAUUAUAAGAUAUGGACCAGGUGGAUCCCCAAUUCUUUAUACCAAUUUUUAAUGUAUUCGUGGGGACCAAAAAGUGAAUUUCCUUUUUAUGAUUUGAGUACCUAACCAAUCAAUUAUUACUACUAUUUUUCUCUUUUUUUUUUUAUAAAUAUACCCCUAGGUUUUUGGUGAGCGAAAAAAUUUUCAACACAAGUUGUGACCUCUCAAAUUUGAACUUAAAAUUUUUAGAAAAAACUUCAAAUAUCACCCCUAUAAUGCCAUAAUUUUUUUUUAGUACCCUUUAGUUUAAAGUGUAUUAAUUUAGUACCAUAUGGUUUCGCACUUUCUCACUUUCAUACCCUGUAGUUUGAAGUGCAUCAAUUUAGUAUCCUAUAUUUUUAUUUUUUUCUUUUCGUCGGCUCCUCUGUUAAUAUUUCGUUAAAUUAUAUACAAAAAACUUCAGAUACCCUACUUAGGUUUAUCGAAUAUUUACUUUAAUAUUCUUUAGUUUUAACUUUGUCACUGAUUUUUAUUUUCCUCUAUUAAUAUUUUGUUAAAUUAUAUACAAAAAACUUUCGAUACCCUACCUAGGUUUAUUAAAUUUCACUUUAGUACCCUUUAAUUUUAACUUUAUCACUGAUUUAACGAAAAAAAUUAGUAAAAUGGAUAAUAAAAAAGAAAAAAAUAAAAUUACAGGAUACUAACUUAAUACACUUUAAACCACAAGGUAUUAAAGUAAGAAAGUGUGAAACCACAGGAGCUAACUUGAUACACUUUAAACCACAGGAUACUAAAAUGAGAAAGUGUGAAACCACAUGCGGGGUAUUUGAAAUUUACCCAAAUCUUUAACUUCACAGCGAAUGCCGUAUUUAUCUAAAUUAAGAUCGAUUUAUAAUAUUAUUAGAAAAUAUCAAAUGUUUUGCUCACUAUAAAAUUUUUUCUUAGUUAGAGUUUGCGUUCGCUGAAAAGAGUUACUAUCAGUAGUCGACAUCUUCUUCUAUCAAUAUAUUGCAGAGUCGGUGAUUCUGAAAUGUUUAUCUUGCGACAUCAUCUUCUAUCAAUAUAUUGCAGAAUCGGUGGCUCUGAAAUGUUAAUUGUGCAUCACAAAGGAAAAAAAUAAAAUUCUUAAAAGAAAUUCGAAAACACAUAAUUCCAUUUUGUUUUUUUAAUAAUAUUUUAAAGUUAGAUUUAUAAGAAAAGUCAGAACAGUAACUUACAGUACGUAGGACGCAGGCGCAGAAGCACCCAGGAUUAAUUGGACCAUUGGUCCCUAAUUUUUGGAAUCUUUUUAUUUUGACCCAAAUCGAAUUUUGUUUGGUUUCAAAUUUAAAUUCUAAAUUAAAUUUAAAUUUCAAUGUUUAAAUCAUUUUUGAGUUAAAUUUUAAAUUCACAAAUAAAUUUUUUAAUUCAAAUUUUAAUUUUAAAUUUUGAUCCUGGGUUCCAAUUUUAAAUUUAAACUCUAAUUUUGAAGUUAAAUUUAAAUUUUAAAUUUGGACUCAAAUUUAAAAUUAUUUUUUAUUUUGAUCAGAAUUCCAAAUUAAAUUCAAUUUUGAAUUCAAUAAAUUUGAUACUUAAUUUUUAAUUUAAAUUUAGAUUUAAAUUUAAAUUUUAAAUUUAAUUUCAAACUCUAAUUUGAAUUCCAAAUUCAAAUAUGAAUUUGAAUUAAAAAUUUAAAUAAGAAUUAUAUUUUCAAAUUUAAAUUUUAACUUCAAAUUUUGUAUUGAAAUUUAAAUUUAAAUUUCAAUUUGAUUUUGGAUUCUCUGUUUCUGUCUGUCUUGUUAAUUUUAUUUAAUUUAUCUUUUAUCUCUAAUUUUCGAUUAGUACAGCUUGAACUUUUAACUUUUUAUUUAAUAAUAAUUUAAAUAAAAUUAUUAUUGAAUAUAGUAAUUUAUAAAUGUUAGCAUUAAAUGUCUUAAUAUUUUUGCUAAAAAAAAUUUAAAUAAUAACUUCUAUAGGAUUUUUUAAAAUUUAACAAAAUUGUUAAUUUAAUUGACCAAAUAUUUAAGAUAUGAAAAAUUUAGGGAAUGUAAAUACCAUUAAUUAAUAAAGACCAUUUAAAUUAAAUUUAUAAUAAUUUAACAGAGUUUUUUACCAAAUCAACUUUUCUAUAUCAGAUAGUACGUUCGUAAAAAAAAUAGUCAAAUGCUCUAGCAGCUAUUUUUUUUACAGCACCACACUAUUUAUACAAAAUAUUUUUAAUAGCAAUUUCAAUGAGAUAUUUGUAUUAAAAUAAUUAUUUCUAGCUUUUCAUAAGGGUUAAAUAUAAAAAUUUCUUUAUAAAUAUUUAUAUUUUAUAUUUUUAUUAUUUUUUAAAAAAUUAUAUUUUAUUCUUUUAAAAUUUUAAAAAUAUUUCAGUAAAAGUACAAUGUUAACGAAAAUGGCAAAAUUGAUCAAUUACUCUUAUUUUUAAAAAUAAUUUAAUAUAGUUUUGUUAUUUUUAUAAGAAAUAAAUAAAAUAGUGAUGAAAAGAGGACUACAUAUAAUAAUUUAAAAUAUAAAAAUUAAAUUUAAAUUUUUUUAAAUAAAAAAUAAAAAUAUAUUAUAAAAUUUAUUUUUGUAAUUUACCUUUCAAAAAAAAAAAAAAAACUGGCCCAUAGAUGUGGGGAUUUUGCUUUUCAAAAAGCUGGCACAUGACAUAGAACAAGGGGACAAAGAAUACACGUGGUUGUACCAUUUUUUUAUUUCUCAAUGGAAAGCCAUAUCAAUGUGUCAUAUUCACUGAAUUUGAUCUUAUUUUAUUAAUAAAAAAUAACUGUGUGACAGUGUGAGUAAUAUUAUAUAUUUUACAAAUAAAUUAUACAAUAGUUUGUGAUCGCAAUUAAUAAGUGACUCAAAUAAUUGCUCCAUAAGUCAAUUUGAUUUAACCAUUUAAUAAAUAAAUUUUGAUUCACUAAUUAAAUCUCAUCAAAUUCAAUAAAUCCUAUAUAGUAUAAUAAAUUUUUUUUAUUAACUUUUACUUUCCGAAAGUUAUGAUACUUACCAUCUUAAUCUUUUAACUUCUAUAUACCCAUCAUAUUUAAAAAAUUAAAAUUUAAUUUUAGAAUAUUUACAGGAGAAUAAUAGUUUAUUUUAGUAUUUAUAUUUAGUCAAUCAUAUAUCUUCUUUCAAGAAAAAAAAUAUAAUAAAAUUAGUUUUUUAAAAUCAUGCAUGAUGGAGUGAGUGAACUUUAUAAAAACAAUUUUAUUAGUUAAAAAUACUACAUGGUCAAUAUGAUUGUUAUAUUUUAUAUUUUUUUUGUCACGGUGGUCCAGGCAAUAAUUUUCUGAAUUUUGUGCCUAUGUGCUUUGUCGCACCAUUUAGUAAGUAGUGCAUUAAUGAAAUAGCAAUAUAUUUUAAAAUAUUAUUAAUAGAUUAAUUUUAUAUUUAUAUUAUAUCAUAAUAAAUAAUAAUUUAGAUUUCAUUUGAAAUAGUGUGUACUGUGUAGGCGCAAGCAUCGAAUAUCGUCAGAGAUAGACAAUUUUUUUUGUUUCUAUAUAUAUAAUAUUAGACUUAUUUGUUUCUGUAUAUAAUAUUACACCUCUUAGGAGAAAAAAAGUAAUUUUUUUGGUUUAUUCCAGUUAACAUGUAACUUUCAUGGUCCCGAAAAAUACUAGAGACAUUCUCAAAUCUCUAGUAAUUAAUGUUCCAUCAAGUACUAUUUUUUAAAUUUUAAAAAUUAAAUUCAAAAUUAAUCAUAAUAAGUGAAUAAAAUUAACUUAUAUUAACGAUAUUUUAAAAUGCAUUACGAGAAAAAUGAAGCAUAUAUAGCUUAUCCUGACUACAUUUUAUUAGGACAAAAUAGAAAAAGACAACCUAGCUAGUCACGUACUCAAAAAGGCCAAAAAAAAAAAAAAAAAAAAAAAAAAAAACAUGAUAACUUGUAAGAAAAUAAAUUAACUAGGGCUACAUUCACACUAAUUUUCUCAGCAGGGUACUCAGGAUGUUUAAUAAAAUAUCUUUUACAAUGCUCGCGGAAUCUCCAAAUAUAAUAUUCAAUCCAAUCAAAUAUUGCCACCAUUGCAGCGUAUGAUCUGCGCGUUGACCCACUCGCCAGCAUCGCUGGCGAGGAACCCCACCAGUGGCGCAACGUCCUCCGGCUGCCCGAGCCGCCCCAGUGGUAUCUCCGCAACGCAACUGGCCUGGUCCGCUUCCGUCUUCCCGUUGUAGAACAUCGGCGUCGCCGUCGGGCCCGGCGCCACCGCGUUCGCUGUGAUCCCCGUCCCCCGCAGCUCCCGCGCUAGUAUCUUCGUCAUCACCUCCACCGCCCCUUUUGUCGCCGCAUAUGCGCCGUAUCCCGGCCGCAGCGAUCCCACACCGGAUGACGAGAAUGUGAUGAUUCGGCCGCCCCCACCCUGCACCUGUGAAAAAUAACCAACAUUUUCUGUCAAAAGUUUAAUCUGAUAGAGAAUGAUGAGUACAUUUCAUCCUAUAUUUUGUAAUAACUUAGUAGAAUUUGACUAGAUACUAGUCCAAAACACGGGCUAGCAAUAAGUAGGAGAAGAUUAAGAAAGACUACAAACUAAAUUUGGUUCUGUUUAGUUUUGUUUGCAAUUUUGAUAGGCUACAUAUUUGGGCUAAUAUGUGUUGACUUAAGCAUUCUCUCUUGUGGUGGAAGACAGAUAGGGCCGAUCGAUUCACGUUUGAAAUAGCGGCGGCAUAAUGUUUGAAAUGUCGUGAGACAGAUUAGGUUGAGUCACAAUCGAGGCUUAUAAAUGCUAUAUUUGUACGUUUUAAAUAAAUUGUUUGUAUAUUUCUAACUGUUUAAGUAUUCAGAAUUAAUGAUUAGAACAAAAAAUUCAAAAAUAUGUAAAUAAAUUAUUCUAAAUGUAGAUUUCUUUAGGCCAAUACUUGCCUCUAUUUUUGAUUUAGUCAAAAUAAUCAGAGAACAAUAUUUUUAAGAGUCCGGCUAUGGUGUUUGUAAAAGUACCAAGCACUUGGUGCUUGUAAAUUUUUUACUAUUAGAUCUACGCCUUUGAUCACUUUCACCCGUUAGAUUAUACUAUUCAACCAACCGCCCACUCAACCCAAGGAGGACCCACAUUAUCCUAACCGUACAUUUAUUAAUCCAAAGGCUAAAAACUUAAUAUAUGCGCAACGACAGUACCAGGCGAUUUGCCGCCUCACGGCAGCAGAGGAAGGAGCCCUUGGCGUUGGUGCUGAACAUCCGGUCGAAGCUCUCCUCGCUCGUCUCCGCGAUGAACGGGAAGUCGUAGUCGAGGACCGCCGCGGCGGUGACCAGGAUGUGGAGCUCCGGGCCGAAGGCGUCGGCCGCCGCGUCGAACAGCGCCUUGACCUGGUCGGCCUUCGACACGUCGACCUCGACCGCCACUGCCCGUUUGUCGCCCCCGUGGGCCGCGUUGAUGGCGGUGACGAGCUUGCGGGCGGGGGAGGGGUCGCCGAAGAAGCCGACGACAACGCGGGCGCCGAGGUCGGCGAGGUGGGCCGACACGGCCGAGCCGAUGCCGCCCGCUCCGCCGGUCACGAUCGCGACCCGGUCCUUCAGUGAAAGCUGCCGGCCGGAAUCUGCCGCCGCCGCUGCCGCCGCACCGCCGCCGUUAAACGCAGCCAUAAUAAGAAUGGUAUCAGCUUUGAGAAAGGUGCUACAAAGUGUUGUGGGUGUUUGUGUACAUGAAUUUUUGCAAAGCAUAGGCUAUGUGAAUAUAUUUAUAAGGAGAGUGAGUGUGAUAGGUAACAGUGGUUAUUGGGUCGGGGCAAAAUGUCAGGAGAUAUUAUUGCAUGGACCCAACCUACUACAUCAAUAAUUUGAGCAUGUUACUACGCUAUUAUAUAUGCCACGUUUCUUCACAAUAACUAUUAGGAAAAAUCUAGGAAUAUAUAGUCAAUUUAGUAUUCUAAUACCAUAACACGAUUCCUUUACAUUUUUAUUAUAGCAUAUUAGCUUUUAUAUAUAUUAUAUUACACUUAUUUUUAUAGCGUGUUUGGUGCUUCUGAAGAACUAUGCGUCCUAUAUAAUAGGACUUAUAAAUUAAAGAUCUUGCGAAGUUUUUGAUGGUUAUCCCAUCCCGUGUUUAUCAAUUCACUGCACCAAUCACAUCCCCCUCAAGUUCCAAUAUAUGGCAGAUACGGAUCGACGCAGAUGAUUUCAACAUGUCAUAAGUUUAACCAAUCGUUCCUAGCGCAAGUGGUAAGGGGCUUAGUGGUUGGUAUUCGAAAUCCUAAGUUUAAAUACUAAUUAAUUCAUAUUUCUAGUUAAAUUUUUUUUAAAAAAAAAUUAAACGAAACGGAUAAUAUACUGCCUAUCUCUAAAAAUAAAAAAUAUAUCACAAAUUUAUAGUAAAUAAAGAUUUAAACUUGUCAUGAGAUUGGUGAGGUUUGAUAAAAAUUUGUAGAGCAUGCAUAAGGACAAAUUUGUGAAAAAUGCGAGGCAUAUUAUUGUAGCUCAUAAUAAAGAGGCGGCGACGUGUCAUUUUCUAACUUCAUUGUAAGAAAAGCAUGCAUGUGAUCUGCGCUGCUUCGCUGACACAUCAUGGCCGACACACAUCGUACGGUGUUAAGCACUCUCAGGCCCUCUGAUCAAGAUAGGAAGAUCAAUACAGUGAACAUGUGAUAAAACACACAAGUAUUUUGUUUGUUUCCUUCCGACUCUUCCGACUUUUUUGUUUUUUGUUUUUAAUCUACUAUGUUUAUGUUUGGUGUACAAAAAUAAUAAUAAUAAUAUAAUAAAAAUAUGCUAUUAUUUUAUUAUUUAGUUUAAUUUUAUUUUAUCAUCUUAUAAUUUAAAUAUAUUAUAUUUAAUUAUUCUAUACUUUUAUCACUAUUUUUAUCUAAAGAAUCUACUAUCUAAUAGAAUAAUAAUAAUAAAAAUUUGGUAAUUACGGAAUAGUAAACAUGUAUAACUUUUUAAACCGCAUGAUAGUUAAAAAAAAAAAGAAAGAAAAAAAGUUAUAAAUCAAAGUAUAGUAAAAUGCAACUUUUGAAUCACAAAGUGGCAAAUAAAAAUGAGAGUUAUUGCUGUAAUAGAAAGCAGGAACAAAUUCGGAACUUAAAAUGUAAAAUCUCUAAUGGGAUAUUGUAAUUUGAAAUAUUUUAAAAUAUUGUAUCUUAUUUUAAAGGUAUUUUAUUGAAUAACACUACAUUCUUAGGUUAUGUGCGCAAGAGAGAAUUAUUAGAGACCCUCUCAGCUAUAGGGUAUUCUCAGAUAGCUUCUCAACCAAUUUUUUUUAUAUGUAUUUUUGAUUGAGACCUUCUCAACUUCUAAAAAUUUUAAAUUAAAUAACUUUAGUUACAAAAUGUGAAAAUUUUAUCGAAAUGAUAAUUUUAAAUACUUUUAACAAAUUAAAUUGAUUUAAUAAAAAAUAGAAUCACUAAAUUUGAUAAAUUUUUUUUAACUUAAUUAGAAUUUGAGGGGUCUUCAUCAUCACAGGGAAAAUAGUUGAAGUGACUAUUUCAUAAUGGCCUAUUGUUUGCAAGGUCUCCAUACAUUUUCACCAAAAGAAUAUCUAUGUAUUUUUAACUAAAUAUUCUCUUAAUAUCAUAAAUACAUGUGAGAAUACACAUAAGGUAUCAUAAUUAAGUACUUGAUACCAAAUAUUCUCUUAAUAUCAUAAAUACACGUGAGAAUACACAUAAGGUAUCAUAAUUAAGUACUUGAUACCUAUUGAAAAGGACCAUUAAAAGGACAUUUGUAAAACAACAAAUAUGUGGUUUUAAAUUAAGGAGCAUUAAUUAUAUUUCAGUUUGGAGAGGUACAUAUAUGAAUUAUUGAGCUUUUUAAGAGGGUGUAUGAAAUUGUCUAAGAUAAGCCAAAUUACUUAUUUUACAUGUAAUCAUAGAUAUAUAGGAGGGCUACCCCUUCGGAAUUUGUCAAAUCCAUCUAUAAGUGCUUUUCAAGCAAUCUCUCCACCUUUAUUAGGUGACAAAUGAAAACUCUGACUAUUUCGCUACAGUUAUGAGUUAAAAUGAGUUUCUGGGUCUAAAAGCAAAAGCUAUUGAAAAGUUUUAAAUUAAAAAAAACUAUAACAUAUAGUAGUUAAACAGAUCAAUCCUCGAUAUCGUAUAAUUCGUAUAAUAGGGAAGAACGUGUGAAAUAACUUUGAAAUAUAUAUAAAGUGUAUAAGGUACUAACGUUAGUAAGAUCUUGAAGUAUUUUUAAUUUAUGUAAGUAUGUAAAAUUUGAGAAAUAUGAGAGUUUUCUAUUACAUUAACUACGUAAGUACUGCAUAAUAUUUUUAUGUGUUUUUACCCCCACUCUUUGAUUGAAUAAUUAGUUAUUCAGUUACACCAAAUUAGUUAAAUUUUUAUCAAUUUACGAGUAAACACAAACAUUAAUUUUUACGAUGUUGAAAAGGAACUGGUAUUUACAGAUCAAAAUUUACAGCUAGCAGAACAAUUUUUGAAUUUUGCCUUUUAAGAGAUAACAAUUGAUGUCUAUCAUUUACUGUUUUAAAGAUACAAUAAGAAGGUUUAGUAUUUCAUUUUACUGGAAUGCCACUACAAAUUGUUAGGUGUCACUGGCGGAUUGUGAGACUUAUGAGAAUUAUCUAGAUGAUCGAUAAUUAUUAUUAAGCUGAGUUGGAAUUGUUCCGAUUCACUAAAAGGAGUUUCAGUAAUAUUAUUGAUAGUGAUCAAAAUAUAUCUCACUACCAAAUAGAAUAGAACCUAUGGGGUCCACAAAUAAGAGGUUGUGAUUGAUCAGAUAGCUAGAUCGCGAUUUUUGAAUCGCCGAAGAACCUAAUUUUUAAUACGUUGAUAAUUAGGCUAAUUUAUAAUUGUUAUAAAACAGUGAUUUUAAAGUGUAAAUGUUAUAAAGAAGGACUAUAAGAGGAAAUCGACUUUCUCUCUCCCCAUAAAAGAUUAUACUGCAAAUAUCAGCAUCCAUGAUGGAAUCCUACAAAAUAUUAUUUCAAAAGGAGAACAAGGCUUGUAGAAAGGGGAAAAAAAAAAAAAAAAAAGAAGAGAAAGAAAAAACAAAGCCAAGGUCAAUGUCGUUGAUCAUGUCAUGCUAGGGCCCAGCCUAUGACCACUUCCUUGUAAUAAUGGAGAAAUUUAAUUUGUUGUUGCAACUUAUUCACAUUCAAUCCAAUCCUCCAUUUCAUUGCAAACCACGGACCAUACAUAGUCAUGUACGAUGCGAUAUGUUACAAACAUGGUCAAUGUUAGAACAAAUACCGCACAGAAAUAUAAUUUUUCAUAAGAGCUUCUAUGGAUAGUCCAUGUCUUAUAGUCGCGACCACAUACGAAUACUCUUAUAUAUGUGAUUUUUUUCAGGGAUGUGUGUAGAGUCACAUCUCGAAAAAUUACCGUCUCGGAUCCCAUUAAGAACUAUCAGCUCAACCUCAAUCACUAUAUAGAGCACUACUCACGAGUAUUAAUCGAUGUGAUCUCUAAAAUGUUAUUCCAUUUGACGGAUAUAUAUUACACUAUUACAGAAAAAUUUUAAUUGAUUUAUGCAUAUAGUUUAAAGUUAGGAGAUUGUUUCUGAAAAACUUAGAGCAUUUUAUUUGCUCCAGAUAGCUGGUAGAUUACAGGUGUGUAUAUGGUUGUACAGAUACACUGGGUGUAGUCAAUAAUGGUGGGCUUUGCGUAUUAGUACUAGUCACACUAGUUAAAGAUAUGUCAUCAAAGUUUGUUGCAUUGUCCCUUUUCCUGGACCUUUCCCACUAGCACAACUUGCUCUCUCUCUCUCUCUCUCUCUCUCUCUCUCUCUCUCUCUCUCUCUCUCUCUCUCUCUAGAUCUCUCUCUCUCUCUCUCUCUCGGCUUUGAUUGGUCCACAAGGUGCAAUGGUAAUAGUUCCUUUACUUGGAUAUUAUUGAAAAAAAAAUGAAAGGAGCAAAUGGUGUUAGCCAUGUGUCCCAAUAUCCACCAUUCUUAUUUGAAAAAAAUAUAAAACUUACAUAAAGCGUCCACCAUUUUGAGUCAGCUAUCCUAUUAUUCAAUUUAUUUGAUUUGAUUCAGCAAAUUAUAUUUUGACUUUAAAAUUUGAAUGUGUCGUUUGUUUUUAUACAUUUAGUUAGAAUGUUUCAGAUAAUUCUCGCAACUAUAGAUUUAUUAAAAUAAAUAAUUAGUUUAAAUUUUAAAGUCAAAAUACUAUUAGCUGAUUCAAAUUAAACAAUUUGAUAGGUAAGAUAGUAGGAUCAAAAGAGGAAGAUCAAAGUAGUCCAGAUAAGUCAUGCACGCUUUUAUCUUCUUUUUAACAGGUCAAUUUUUUUAACCCUUUUACUAAUCUAUUUAGCUGCCAUUUUGCUUUUGAAAGUAAAAUUUAAUCUAUAAAAUAUCUCAACUCCGAUUCGAAGAUCGUGAUAAAACAGAAUAAAACCAAACCACUCGCUCCAACGGAUCAAAUACAAGAUCACAAGAUGAAAAUUGCACUAGUUUUCAUAACCCAAAAAAUAUCAAAUCCUUCAAGAAGAGAGUAAACUUUAGGAAUUCAGUAAUGGGGAGAGAAAUCUCAUUGGGAGAAGAAGAAGCAAAAAUGUAAGAGUAUUUUUUUUUUACUUUUUUUCUUCUUUUCUCUCUGCACGCUUGUAACUGCAUGUACUGGGUAGUUUCCCAACCAACUAAGAAAACCACCUCUUAAUGGAUCGGGUCGGAUUUGUCCAUCAUGGACGACCCGAAACCCGAUUAAAAAACCAACAGCUUUUAUCUUCACUUUCACUUGAAAGAUUUUUUGUUUUGGAGUAUAUAUCUCUUUCCUUUUCUUCCUAGUCCUGGUUAGAUGAAAUUAUCUUCUCUAUGGUCGGCGUAGAUUUGAUAAAUUAUACCACAUAUACUGAUAGAAGAAGCAACAGAAAAAAAAUAGACAAAAAUUAUGUUAUUAAAUGACAAAUAUUUGAGACCAACUCCAUGAAUAAUCUUACCAUGCAUGCUACACCAAUUACAUACCUGAGAAUUAUGUGUAUUUUAAUACAUUAUUAGUUGGACCUAUCAAGUAUCAAUUAUUCAAGUGUAGUAGUUGAUGAGGUCACAUACUCAAUGUUAGUGACUGAUUCAUAGAAUUAAUUUAGUACAUUUAUAUAUUAAAAAGCCGCUAAUCAUCGUAGAUUUACUAUAAGCUUUGAAUAAUUUGUUUUAAUAAACUAUUAUAAUAUAAUAUAUAAUAUCAUAUCAUAUGUUAAAAAUAUUUCUUGCUAAAUUAAAUUACUUUCAAUUUAAGCUAAUGUAAUUUUAUCUUAGUAUAUUUAACAAAUCCAAUAUCUAAUCUAAUAAAUCUAUGCACAGUUCUCGCAUUGCAGGAUUAUGCUGCCAAGUUAAUUAUUUUAAAUUGAAAUACUAAUUGUAAUCAGUUUAGAUAUAAAUCAUUUGAUAUGACAAAAUUAAAAAAUUAUUUUGGUUCUUUUAGUCAAAUGAACUUCUUUAAUUUCGGGGCAAAAUUGAUUUAAAAAUAUUUAUUUUUAUCUACGUAUCACGGACAUUUUUAUAAGCCUCACGUGUCCGUGUCGGACAAGCAUACGGACACGUGUCUAAUGUGGACACUUUUUUAACGCGUAUUUAAUAUUGAUUCGUAGCGCAUACAUCUAAAAAAAAUAUAAACCUAUUUUUAUUUUACUUUUUCUAUGCAUAUAUGAUAUAAGAUAAUAAAUAUUUUAGUUUUUCGAUAAAUGUAUAUAAUUUUUUUUUAACAAUAUAAAUAAAUUAUGUGCGGUGGAGAAUUUUUUUCUUAAAAUAUAUAAACUAUUAAUGAAAAUUUUACUAACUUUUAUUUAGGUGAGAUAUAUAAUAAUAUAUAUUUUACCAAAAUUAAUAUUUUAUAUAUAAUAAAAUAUAUUAUUAUAUUAAUAAUAUUUUAUUUUAUUAGCGUGUCCGUGUCCUAAUUUUUUUAAAAUUGUCGUAUCGCGGUAUCUGAGUCGUCUCGUGUCUUGUAUUUCGUGUCAGUGUUCAUAACGCCUAAAUUUUUAUCGAUAAUGGUAAGGCCAAUUUGGAUGAAUUAUAAUCCUGCUGUUUAUUUGCAGAUAAGUAGGUUUAUUUAUAAAUGUGAUAAUAAAAGAUAGUCACAUCUAUGACAUCAUAAAUGUGAUAAUAAAAGGAUACUCAAUACUAGAUAAACGCAUGAGAUUAUUAACAGGUGAAUUAAUAUUAGCUACACAUUAAAAAAAAAAAAUUUUAAAAUUUUAUUUAUGAAUUUUAAUAAAUAAAAAUUAUAUGAUUAUUAAUUAUUAUUAUCUAAUUUGACAAAAAGGUUGUAAAAAUUAUAAUUAAUUUAUUUAAAGUUUAUUUUUAAUUUUUAAAUUUAAAUCAUUUAAAAAAAUGUAUAUAGUGUCAGAAAAUCUAUAAGGGUAUUUCAAAUAUAAAUGUAUAUUAUCGAAAGAAAAUUUGACACAUCCAAAAUUUUUAUUGACAUAGAUAGAUAUACUGAUGAUAAAAAAAAAAAACUAAUAACAAAAAGUGUAAUAUAAAUCUAAUUUGCCUUGUAAUUAACUAACAGAGCUAAUAUAACUAGAUUUAGUAAAUCUCAUCUCUAAAUAUCACUUUCAACAGUUUAAUUAAGUGACUCACUGUCCCUAACGCAAGUGGUAAAGAGUUUGAUGGUUGGUAUCCGAGAUCCCAAGUUCGAAUCCUAAUUGAUUCACUUUUUUAGCUGAGUUUAUUUCUAAAUGAAAUAAACGAAGCGGAUAGCAUGCUACUUAUCUCUCUAAAAAGAAAAAACACUUUAAUUAAGUGAACAAUUCUAACCUAUUUUUUGUGGGCUAAUUAAAUAUUUUGGACCUAUAAAGUUUUUAAAUAUGUUAAAGGUCCAUGGAGAAAUAUGUGGAUAUUUUGGACCUAUAAAUAUUUUACGUGUGUUAAAGGUCCAUGGAGAAAUAUGUGGGUCGGGCUAUGUAUGUGUUAUAGUUUAAACACUUUUUGGGCCUCUCAAGGUUGGGUUGAUGCAUUUCAAAAGUUGGUUUAACUGAUUAUACUUUAGACAUACCAAUCUACACCCAAACCCGCGAAUUAUCUGCAAAUUUGUAGGUAUGAAUACUAAUUUUUCUUACCCAAAAAAUUAUAGAUAAAACUGGUGGAUAUCUGCUGAGUGGUAGGUAUUUUGGGCUACCCAUGGGUAUCCUCAUAUAUAUUUUUUAAAUUAAAAAAUAUAUAAUAUUUAUAAUAUUGAUUCGAUAAUGAUAAAAGUUUUAUUAAUUUUGUAUCGUGAAAAUUUGGAAUGAUAAAAUAUUUUUAUAUUAUAUAAUAUAUGAAUUUUAAAAAUUUUAUAUCGUUUAUUAUAUGUUAUGAUAUUUCGAAUAAAGAGUUACUUUAUAUUUUUAAAAAUUUUAUAUAUGUGUUUUGUAUUUGGGAAGUGCAGGGGUAAAAAAGAAAAAAAGAAACUUGCAAAUAACCCGUAUACCUAUCCAUCUGCAUGUAGGCGGGUAUAGGUAAAGAUGUUGAUUACUUAAAUUUAUGGAUAAAUUUUAUUUAUAUUCAUUUGACCCACGAGUACAGUAACCCGUCCGUGUGCUACCUAAUCUGCCUAUUUGUUAUUUUUGUUAACAUUAUUCUGCUACCAACAAAAUAACAUACUUAGAAAAAAGGGUUAAUUUCACUGGUACCCUUCAAAAGAUUGAUAAUAUCGUAAAUACCCUCACAAAAUCAAUAAUAUCAUAAUUAAUUACCCCUCUAAAUAUAUAGAUUUUUUCAAAUCUACCUUUAUUUGCAAACUCCGUUAAAUUCAUAUGGGAUUAAAAAUUAUUUACCGAUUUUGCCCUUGAUCCUUAAAGGGUGUUGAAGGUUAUAGUGAGAAAAAAAAAAAAUUCUACCCCCUCAACUAUAGGCUAUUUUGAAAAAAUUUCCUAAUUUUUUUUUCCUGUAUAAAGACCAUUCAAUUUUUAUUUAUUUUGUUUAAAAUAAUUUCAUUAAUUAAAUUAAAUAUUUUGUUCAAAGUCAAGACACUCCAUUAGCAACUAAUUAUUAAAUCUAGAAUUACACUAUUUUUGCAAGUUGAAUGAAAAUUUUAGUUAUUUCAUCAAAUUUAACGGCUUUAACUAUUUUUGUUUAAAGACAUUAUAGAUUUAAUAGUUAGUUGCUAAUGGAGUGUUUUAGUUUUGAACAACGUAUAUAAUUUAAUUUGUGGAGUUAAUUUAAAUCAAAAAAAUGAGAAUUGAAUGGGUUUUUUACACAAGGAAAAAAUUAGGGAUCUCUUUCAAAAUAGUCUAUAGUUGAGGAAGUUGGACAUAUAUUUUCUCACUAUAACCCCCAACACCUUUCAAGGAUGAAGGGCAAAAUUGGUAAUUAAUUUUUAAUCUCAUAUGAAUUUAACGGAGUUUGCAGAUAAGGGUAGAUUUGAAAGAAUCUAUAUAUUUAAAGAGAUAAUUAUAAUAUUACUGAUUUUGUGAGGGUAUUUACGAUAUUAUCAAUCUUUUGAAGGGCACCAGUGAAAUUAACCCUAGAAAAAACAUGCAUCAGUGACCCCGUACGUAGCGUAGUUUAGUAGGGACUAAUGGUUAGUACCGAACACCCAUCGAGGAGUUCCCAAUUUAUUGUAGAUUUUUUUUUUUUUUUUUCAAGGUGUGAUUCAGGGGCUCUUCACCGAAGUUUUAUCUGUUGGUAUUCAGCGUUUCAAAUUCAAAGGCUAGUUAUUUUACAUUUUUGUUUAGUUUAUUUUUUAAAAAAAUGAAUAAAGGGGAUAGUUUACUAUGUCUCUCUCUCCCAAAAAAAAAAGGAAAAAAAAAAAAAACAUGCAUCCAAACACGGCCAAAGGAAAUUAUCAAAUAGGAAAAAGAAAAUUUAUACUCUUAUUCUUUUAAUCAUGGUGACUUCUCUACAGGCAUUUCCAUUAUUAGUUUUGGAAAUGCACUUCUUCUAACUAUAUAUAUAUAUAUAUCUAUAUCUUUUCCUUAGUUACAUAUGUAAAUUGAUUUUGAUAUCUCUAUGAAGCCGUAAUAGGUAAUUAUAUCCUGUAAGAUCCUAAAGAGAAAUCAGGAAAAAAAAAAAGAAAAAAAGAAAGAAAAAGUGAGUCAUCAAUUCUCGCCAUUGAAGCUUUGUUAAAUUUUGUUGGAACAUAAUUGUUUUUCAUAGUUGAAAUUUUAAUUUAAUUGUUAUCAUCUUUACUAUUUAUUGGUCUUCUUUUUCCUUGCUCUUUUGUUCACGCAACUUUUCAUUUUAGGAAUCACCUCUUGUUGGUGUUCAAACAAGACAUUUACCUCCUUUCUUUUUUCACUUCUUUUUUUUUCAUUUUUUUCCAAGAUCAUUCACCCUAAUAGUCUCUAAGGCUUCGUUUGGCUCGGGAUUAAGUAAGAACUAAUUAUUCAAGGAAUAGGGUUAAGUUCAGGGUUAAGGCGGGGUUAGAGUAAUUUUGUGUUUGGUUGAGAAAUGGGUUUAGUCCAAAUAUAAGUAAAAUAGUGUUUGAUUAGAGUAGAUAGAAUAAGAAAGAUAGUGAAUUGUUAUAAAUAGAAAAUAAUAAUUUACUCCAAUUUAUAUAUUUGAAUUUAAAUUUUUUAUUUUAUAUUAAAAAUUUUAAAUUUUAAUAGAUAAUUUUUAAAAUUAAAAAAAAUUAAAUUUAAAAUUUAUUUUGAAAUCUCAAAUUUAAAAAUUUAAAGUUAUAAAAUUUAAAUCAAAUCUAACAAAUAUAAAAUUUAAAUUUUAAAAUUUAAAAUUUAAAAUAAAUAUUAAUUUUAAGAUUGCAAAUUAUACAUUUUUAAAAUUUCAAAUAUAAAAUAUCAAAUUUAAAAUUUAAAUAAUUAAAACUAAAAUUUAAAAUUUAUAUUUAAAAAUUAAAUUGGGGUGGGAUUAACUUAAUCCCACCCCAAUUCUAAGCAGGGUGGGGUUAACAAACCCCACCCCGCAUUUGAUACUGUUUGGGGAUAAAAGGGGUUAAUCCCUUAACCUCUUUUAUCCCCGAAUCAAACGGUGUGUAAUAAAACUGGCCGUCUCUAAUGUAAAUGACGAAAAACUUAAUAAUUGAUACCCGAGGUUCCAAAUUUCAGAAUCUAACUACUUUACAUUUCUAACUAAAUAUAUUUCCAACAAAAAAAAAAAUGCUAAUAUGCUACCAUUCUCUCUCACUUCCAAGAAAAUAAAGACUUUUUUUCUAAAUAAAAAGUCUCGCGCUCUUAUCCUACCUCUUAACUCAUAAACUAUACUUACCAAAUUACUAGUUGUCUAGUGAUUUAUAAGUGUUCGAACCGGAGAUUCGAGCUCCUAUAUGAGCUCAAAUUUAGGACUCGUGCCCUGGUAUCCACUACACUUAACCUAAUGUAGUUCUUUUCAAAACUAGGAUAAGAUAUCAAAGCUACUUAAUUAUAUUGGUUCACAAGGAAGAGCCCUUUCCCACUUAGUCUAUGGCAACCCACUUCUCACUCAACAUGCUAAGCACCCAAAAGGCCAACUAAAUACAGAAAACACAUUAUUAUAACACAUAUAUUAUAGAGAAAAUUUCAAAUACCCCCUUGUAGUUUCACUCUUUCUCACUUUAGUACCCUGUGGUGUAAAGCGUAUCAAGUUAGUACCCUGUGGUUUCACACGUUCUCACCUUAGUACCCUGUGGUUUAAAGUGUAUCAAGUUAGUAUCCUGUGGUUUGGCACUUUCUCACUUUAGUAUCCUGUGGUUUAAUAUUUUAUUAAGACAAAAAUAAAACCAUAGGGUACUAACUUGAUAUAAAAAUAAAAUCACAGAGUACUAACUUGAUACAUUUUAAACCACAUGGUACUAAAGUGAGAAAGUGCGAAACCACAUGGUACUAACUUGAUACACUUUAAAUCACAUGGUACUAAAAUGAAAAAGUGCAAAACCACAGCGGUUUUUUUUGAAGUUUUCCCUAUAUUAUACAAACAUCAAAGUUAUAGUGAUUAAUUAGAGACUGAGCUUAACUUAAUUUGUUACUCUUUGGCUUGCAAUUAAUUUAUGUAAACUCUUUCACACCUUAUGUUGCUACUACUGGGCUUUAAUAAUCCAUAAAACGACUUAUUUCAUUAUCACACCCCAAUCAAUUUUUCCAAAAGGCCAGGUGAUUUGCACCAUCAGUACCUCAACUUUCAGAUAAGUUUCAGUUUGAUCCCUAAACUGUUAUGUUUGAUAUUGAAAAAUUAUAUAUAUUCCUUAAAUGUUUCACUUUAGUUCUUAUUGUGAUUAAUAAUUAGAAACCAAACAUUUAUCAGAUUGAACCGCUAUUUUUAAAGAACGAGACAAAUAAAGAGUCGAUGAGUUCAAAUUAAAUCUUUAAUAAUAAACAUUAAUGUUGAAGGGCCAAAAUAAAAGGAGCUAAAACUUUUGGGACUCAACCUUGUAGUAACUCCAGGAAAAAGCUUACAAUUUGGGGACAAACAGAAUAUCUAAAAAUUCGUCUCACGCAUCCAAUUCGAAACCCACACGAAGUCCAAAUCCUAGUAGGACUAGAUAGUUAGAAUAAUUAUCUUUAAGGACUAACGUGAAAAAAGGACAUGCAUGCAUGCAUGCAUGGGUUUAUGUGUAUAUAUGCUUUCUACUCUUCCAUAUCUGUUACAAACAGAUUAGAAUCCUUCUCUAAUAAGAAAAGUGUUUUAGCGAUAGAGGGGGCGUAGGAGAUCGAAUUUAAAACCCUAAACUGGAUUUAAAAUUCUCUUAUAAAUCUCUCUCUCCCCUCCGAUCGCUUCGCCACCUUGUUCCCGCUCAUUAACUUCGAUUUCUAACGGUUUAAGCAAUUAAAUUUGGUAAUAUUGUUCGUCUCCCUCGCCUUUUGGUAAUUUUUCCGAGUUUUGGUUCUAUGAUCUUCUUUUUUUUUCUUUUUCUUUUUUUGUGCUAUUUGAUCGUUCUUGUUGUUUGGUUUUCGUCAAGAUUGGAUCUGCUCGAGUUUUCAUUAGGUUUUUUGUUUGUUUUGAUUUGGAAAAGAUUGCUCUUUUAAGAGAGUACUUAGGGUUUAGGGUUUUGGGGGAGGGUGAUAUAGAGAUCAGGGGUUUUGAUUGAAAAUCCGAUUUGAAAUUCCAAAUUUAAUUCUGCAUUUUUGAAUAUUUUGUGACUUGGAACCAAUGUGGUGGUAAUCUAUGCUUGUGGAAUUCCCUGUUUUAUUGCUUUCGUAGAAUAUGUGUGAAGUGAUCUAACUUUCUCAUCAGAAUUGUGUGUUGUUAAGUAUAUACUCGUGUAUUUUUAGUUUGAUCCUAAUUUUGUUCAUUUAUUUCCUAUUCUUGCGAAAUUAUACAAUAUGAAAUUCGGAAGUCAUGUGUUUUCUUUGAAAAAUCUCUUACGGUAUAUUUCUAAAAUUAAACUUAAUGCGUCCGAGGGGCUUACAUCUUGCAGCAUUAGGUAAUUAGUUCCAGUAAUCAUGAUCUUAGAAUGCCAUGAACAUGUUUGAGGAUAUGCCCACUAAUUUAGACGUUUUUUGGUUUUUGGUUCAAUUCAAUCUCAAGUCCCUUCUUUGCAUUGACAAAAUGCCUUUUACUUGUCGUAGGAUCGAUUCGUGCAUCUGCAUUGCCGUGUGCCGCCAGCUUUGGUCAAGACCCAUCUGCAGCAGCAGAGACUGUCCCCACUGCCGUAUGGAGAACCAGGAGCGAGAGGGGCUCGAUAGUCCUAAUUCACCAUCAACAUCUGGCACUGCAAGUUCAUCGUCAGAACGCAGACCAACUCAUGGUAGUAAUGUUUCUUUGAAUGGUGCUUUGAACGGCGGGAGUCGUGGUAGCAAUGUGCCUUUGUAUGGUGCUUUGAACAGCGGCGCUCGUCGUAGCAAUGUGCCUUUGAAUGGUGCUUUGAACGGCGGCGCUCGUGGCAGCAAUGUGCCUUUGAAUGGCGCUUUGAGCAGCGGCGCUCGUGGCAGCAAUGUGCCUUUGAAUGGCGCUUUGAAUGGCAGCGCUCGUGGCAGCAAUGUGCCUUUGAAUGGCGCUUUGAACGGCGGCGCUCGUGGCAGCAAUGUGCCUUUGAAUGGCGCUUUGAGCGGCGGCGCUCGUGGCAGCAAUGUGCCUUUGAAUGGCGCUUUGAACGGCGGCGCUCGUGGCAGCAAUGUGCCUUUGAAUGGUGCUUUGAACGGCGGCGCUUGUGGCAACAAUGUGCCUUUGAAUGGUGCUUUGAACGGCGACAUUCGUGGUACCAAUGUGUCUUUGAAUGGUGGCGCUCGUGAAUCAUCGUUUAGCAAUGAGGAUAUCUGGUCGCAGGAUAAGCAGACUCUUGAAUCAGCAUUUAGGAAUUGGAGCUUAACAGAUUGCAAUAGAGCUUUGCCGUCCUCUUCUUCACCUGCGCGUCACCAUGAUAAAUUGUUACUGAACGGAAAUGGACAUAUAAAAGACUUAGAGGAACCAGAGGAGAUGUUUGAAACUUAUCACCAAAGACCAAAUGCAGUCAUGCCAACGAACACGGCGGAGAGGAGCCCUUACAGAAAGCAAACACAAAAUGACUAUGUACGAUCGCUGCAAAAUCAUGGAAAUGAGUUGCAACCAAGGACAUCAACCUGGCCUCUGAUACAGACAUCCGAUCCCAGCGAUACACUGAGAGGCUCGCAAGAUCCUAAUUGGAAUUAUGCUGCCACCAAUUCUCAUUUUCAUAAUUUUUAUUUGAAUUAUGCUGCUGUUAAUUCGAAUUAUAAUUAUAAUAAUCAGCUAGGUACUGAUUUGAUGAACAACAACCCUUAUGGGUAUUACGAUCAAGGCUUAUGCUGUGAAGCUGAGGGUUUUAGCAUUCAUCAUGGCGAAAAUGCGGCAUACCCGCAUGUAGCAGCAACCAUCUGGUCCAAUGGACUCACAAAUGUUGUACCGCGAAUUGGUCGAGCUGAUGAAGGGGAUUGUUCUUCUAGCUGUCAUGCCUCUUGUUUGCCUAGCCAUUGCCGGUAUCCUUCUGGUAGUAAUUAUGGGCACGAUCUGAGGCCAUAUCAGGAACAGAAUUCAGUGGAAAGUAUGUGGUUUCCUCCUUUCAGCAAUCCUGGACAUGAUCAGGAUUUCAAUUCAGCAGAAAGCUUCCAGCUUCCUCCUGUUAAUGGGAGAUAUUCUUUAAGACCGCAGCAGGAAUACAAUUCAGUGGAUGAAAUUGCGGGCAGAAUAUACUACUUGGCAAAGAAUCAUGAGGGCUGCCGCUUCUUGCGGAUGAUGCUCACUGAAGGAACCGCAGAAGAUGUUCACAAGGUCUUCAAUGGGCUCGCGAAUCACUUUACCGAACUUUCAUCUCACCCUUUGGGGAGUUGUCUAAUCCAAAAUUUACUCGAAGUGUGCUCCACGAACCAAAGGAUGUUUAUAUGUUAUCAGCUUACCAGAAGCCCAGGAAAGCUCGUUCGCAUUUCGUGUGACAUGCAUGGGUAUGUACUCUUCAUGCUGUCGAUCUUGUGUUUUUAUUGUCUUAGUUAUUCCCUUUUUGAUUUCUAAUGAACUUAGAAAGUAAAAAAAAUAAAAUAAAAUUGCAGAACUCGAGUGGUUCAAAAGGUGAUUGAAGGCAUCAAAAGCUCAGAUGAAAGCUUAUGGGCUGUAUCGGCAUUAAGGCCUCAUGCCACCACACUGAUGAAGGAUGAGAAUGGUUCUCAUGUUGUAGAACAAUGCUUUCAACAUCUUUUGCCCGAGCAUAGGCAGGUAAAAUUGAUUUUCAGUACGCAUUCUGUGUUAGCCAUUGCAUGGAAAUGGCCUUCUUUAAAGCUAAAAGCAACGCAAAAUAUGCGGAACGAAUUCAGCUGUCAAGACAACGGAUUGCCAACUAUAGCUAUUUUAGGAUGCAAUAUUUUUCUCGAUCUUUAUGAUGUUGAGUUCUAUAAUACUCACCCAAAGAUAUCCGGUACUUCAAAUUUAAGAGUACAUAAAAAUCUCUUCAUGUUGAUCCUUGAUAUAUUAUUGUUUUUUUCUGACCCGGAAACUAUAACUACUCUUUCUUCAUGAAAACUCAGGUUGCUUUGGCUUUCGUUUCCUAUAUCUUCUCUACAAUUAACUCGAGUACCUUCGGGUUAAAGUUUGUAGAUGGAUGUUGGAUAAAGCUUUGUUAUGAGCAUUUAGUACUUUUCCCUACAACAAGAGCAGAUUUUCUUCUGUUCAAUUUGUGACCUACUUAUAUAUAUAUAUAUAUUUAUUUAUUUAUUUAUUUAUUUAUUUGGAGCAAUGUUUAACUUGCUUAAUGACUAUUCUCUUGUUUCCAGCUUCUAAUUGAUGUGGCUCUUGCUCAUUAUGUCGAGCUGGCAAUGGAUCGUAGAGGCUGUUGCAUGCUUCAAGCCUGCAUCAACCAUUCAACUGGUUUGCAAAAAGAUAAUUUGAUGAAGGCUAUUGCUUCUAUGGCUCUAACCCUUUCAGAUGAUACAUAUGGGUAUAGUUCGGAAUGCCUAUUCUUCCCUUGAUUUAUAAAAUAUAUUUAAAAUUUUCAAAAUUCACUUAUACUGGUUGUGUUAACAUUGUCCUUAGAUGUUUAUUGCAGUUCUCAACAUUUCUCGACAUACUAGCUUUACACCAUUUAUAUAGUGGCAUCUCUCUUUUACAUUACUUGGUCCCUAAAAGACGUUCUUCUUGCAGAAACUAUGUGGUACAGUUUGUUCUUGAGCAUGGGACUCCAUCGUCCAGGAGGCUGAUACUGAAUUCGCUCAGGGGCCAUCAUGUAACUUUGUCGAUGCAGAAAUAUGCUAGCAAUGUUGUUGAGAAAUGUCUAGUUUAUGGCGGGCCGGACAAUUAUGGAGAAAUCGUCCAAGAACUCAUACGCAAUCCCAGAUUCUCACUUAUCGCAGAAGACCAGUACGGAAAUUAUGUCGUUCAAACAGCUCUUGCAGAAUCCAAGGUAAAAAAAAAAAACUUUCCCCACCCUUAUUGGGUUAACGGGUGUGUUGUGGUCGUUAAACUUAUUGUGAAAUUCACUACUGCCACUUAACUUUAAUCUCUAGCUAAAUCCUUUGUGCUAAUGUUUUUGUUAAACCGGGGCAGCCAGUGAAAUUCCUAACAAAAGCAGCACUGUAACAAAACCGAUCUUCAUUCCAUUAAUUGCAAAAUGAAGUUUUGAAGUUAAGCAAAACCUACUAAUCAAAACUUCGCAAGAAGUUUGGUGGCUAGUGUGAAAUUUUUUGUGCGCGUAUUUGACUAUAUUCCUCAUCAAGCAGGGGCCUCUUCGUGCUGCUCUGGUUAAUGCCAUCAGGCGGCAUGCUGCGGUACUCCGUACUAACCUUCACGGGAAGAAAGUUCUCUCAGCGGCGGGACUGAAGAGCAAAUAGGCACCUCCGAAAAGCCUUUCUUGGAUGUCUUCAGAACCCCUUUCUGGGCAGUGCAUGUAAUCUUGUACAAUGCUGCAUACGAUGCUGAAAUUGAUGUAGACGGUAGUUUGUUUAGGUAAGAAGAGUCUCUACUGUUUUUCCCUUCUGUUUGAAGCAGUUUUGGUGUUAGACACAGUUGGUUCCACUAGUUGAGAUAUAUGGUGUUAGACACAGUUGGUUUCACUAGUUGAGAUAUAGGUGUUGUAGAGUUUAAUGUAAAGGAAAUAAGUGGGUCUUGUAGGAAUAUUUUUAUGAUUACUGUUACUGCUCUAUGAGCAAUGUGGUUUCAUUUGUUUGAACUUGUUGUUCACAUAAUCUUCUUAAAGUGAUCGCUUGAGAUUUCUAUUGUUUUAAAAUUCGACCGAGUUUUGAUUUCUCGACUUAAAAAGUAUUUGCCUUCGAUGUUCACAACAGCUUCUCCACUCUAAGAAGUGACAAAUAUUUGGCAUCAGAAGCUUUGAUUAAAACUUUUGCUACUGCAGAAUAUGUUAAGAAGAAUUGUUGAAAAAAAUUGUCCUGCAGCUUUCGAAAAAUUUUAUCUAUACCACUUUGUACUUUUACUGGAGCUCCAGUGAGAUCAAAUUGAUGCUAACUGGCCAUAGAUUAAAUUUAUUUUGUGGAUUAUAGUUAUUUGUUUGGUAUUGAGAGCUAUUCAUCCUUGUGGCCCAAAAGCCAUUUUUCUGUUGGCGCCGCAAAAAUUAUAUCGUAACUGAGUCGUUUCAAUCUAUACUGAAUAUUUUUCCAUCACGCUUUUUCACCAUUUAUAUCACAUUUCUCCACAAUUCCAACCGGAGCUCUUAGUGCUUUUGCUGAUUGAAAAGCUCAACUAACAAGUUCAAUCUCAAGAUACAGGAGUAUGCUAGGAAAAGAUUAAACUUCACAAAAAUCUGCUCAAGGUGUUCAACCAUACAUUUUUGAAGCCAAUGAAAAUUCAGUGUCAGUUAAUACAGCAUGACAAAAUUUCCCACAAUUUUUAGCAUAGAAGGAGACAGGUGAAUGUAAAUUUGUGAUAUAAAGGAUUCCUAGCANAUUAGUAUAAAAAAUUUACAAAUUUUGCCGUUUUUUCCGAUUUUACAGAUUUAGACUGGAUUUUCAACAAACUGAUUAAAAUACUCUUAUUUCUUUCUGUCUCUUCUUUUUUUUUUCCUUCGAGGGCGGCGCCAUCUCCUUUUCCUCCAUUUUCUUCUCCACUGGCGCCGGCGCCCCUCGGCGACAGUAACAAGGGCGGGGCCGCCUCUUCCGCCACCGCGUCCGCCGCCUCUAGCCCCAGCUUGUUGCUGUCCCCUGCACAGAGGAAGAAGCAAGUGUGUCAAGAAUCUAGUAAUCAAAUGUCCAAAUACAAAUUUAAAAGGAAAAAAGGAGAGAAAUUAGAAUGUUGAUUUCGCCGAAUUUCAAGAAUUCAGGGUCAUCUAAAUGUCUCAACACGGAACAACAUUCACAAAAUAUUGAGGGCAUAGUUAUUUAAUACAGUUACCAAUGGCCUCAAGUGUCAGAAAACGAAUUGUCUCGCUCCAUCCAGUUACUUGAAAAGAAAGAUAUGAAGAAGAUGAUUUACACAUAAGAGACAGAAAAAGCCUAAUAUGGGUUUUGCCGUCUCAGACAAAGUAGCCCCAGUUUUUUAAUGCACUAAUUGAAAAAUGAUAGUUCAGCAACCGAAAGAGUGCGAGUCCAUGUUACAAUACCAAAAACAACUUUUAAUAUAUUGCAGCCAUGAUAUUGCAUUUGGUGAAAAGGUAAGAAAUCAAGUAUUUGACAGCUAGCAGGAAACAUCAAGAAGCAUACUCUUAUAAUUCUAAACUUGCCAGUUAGCCCAAUGCAUUGAAUCGUAUUCAGAUAGGAUUAAUAGCGAUCGCUCAACCGAAGACGGUAUAUAUAAACUAACCAUGCUACUUAACAAAAUUGAACUUUUCGAUCAACAUACGAAACACCAACCUGUUCUAUAAAAGGCCAGUUGAAAAUAUCCACCUAACCUUCAAAUGGCAAUACUUGAUAUGAUCAAACAAACCAUAGGUUCUUAUGCUUUGAUAUGUCAUGGGGUUUAUAUACAGCAAUAAACUCAAUUAAGUGGUCAUAACAAUACUUGCGAAUAUGUAACACAUGCAACAAAAAGGGGAGGGGGGAAAAAAAUCAUACUUUGGCUGCGGGAGAAACCGCGACAGCGGCAACAGCUUCGCAGGGUCGAUGAAGAACUUGUCACCCAGUGAAUAGGACGUCGCGAUGAUACCCUCCAUCAUCUUAAUAGAGAAACACUAGAGAAAAAUAUGAACGCAAAAUUUUUUUAAAAAAGGAAAAAGAAUAAUUUGGUGAUUCAAUUCAACAUAACAAUAUGCUCAAAUUCUGAGUAAUUUGGGAGCGAAGAGUAGGGCUCACGGAUUCAUUAAUAGGGCCAAAAAUCUCAUCAACUUUCCCGAUCUGGGUCUUGUUUUGCAAAUAGAUCGGGGCGUUGAAGUAGGGUAUCUUCUCGUUCGUGAGCUUCGUCACCGCGUCCCCCUCGCAAGCGUGGAGAAACGAGGACACCUCUACGCACAACAAAGCAAAGUUUUCGCUUGAGAUCGAAUCGAUUAGGGUUUAGUAAGAGUAGGAGAUGGAGAGGGCGUACCUACGACCUCGGCGGGGGGACCCUCGUCGCGGAAACCGCCGCCGCCGCGGCCCCCGCCCCUGAACCCGCCACCCCUGAACCCGCCGCCGCCGCCCCUUCCGCCGCCGCGCCCCCUGAACCCGCCGCCGCCCCUCGGUGGCCGCAUCUUCGUCGUCCUCUACGCAGAGGAGGAGGGGGGGGGACUGAACCCUCAAAACCCUAACCCUAGGCUAGAGCAAAAUCUGCGGCGUCGGGUGCACAAGAGGGGGAGAUGGUGGGUUUUAGGGUUUAAGAGGAGUGAACUGAUGGGACCCACGCAGGGGAGAAAUUAUCGAAUGGACCCGGUUCACGUAACCCUCAAAACCCUAACACUAGUAUGUGUUCCAUAAUAUUCAAUAAAUUCUUAAUAUUAUUAUUAUUAUUAUUAUUAUUUUAUAAGGUUGAGUUGUAGGACAAUUUGAUACCAAAAUAAUAGAUUACUAGUGUAGAGACCCGCGCGAUGCAGCGGGUAGAUAAUAAAAAUAAAAUUUUAAUAUUUUAAUAAAAUUUAUAUUUACAACUUAUAGGAAGCUAUAUUAUGUUAAACACAGUCAAUUUGCAUGACUAAAUUCAGUUGUUAAAAAAAUAAAAUUAUAGCUAGAAGUAUAUGAAAUACAUAAAUAAUAACUUAACGUAUUUGGCUUACGAAAAUUUUGGUUGGCGUCUCAGGCUCCAAUCUCCGCAUCAUACUUUUUAACCUACGAAAGAAAUUUUGCCCACAACAGUAUCUACUCAAAAAAAUGAUCAUAAUAUGAAAAUAAAACAAAAAACAUCAAUCUUAAAAAAAUUAAUAUUUUUUUGGAGCACUUCUCUUACUCAUCCAAAUCUCAUAUAUUUUUUUAAUCUUCAGCUGGUAGUUGCUCCACGCGCCGAGUCAUUUCUGGAUUUCUAUUGUAACCUAUGAACAAACAUCUCAUCUGUAUCACCAAACUGCGAUAUCUAAACCGAUACAGCCUUACCAUCACAUCAACCACAGAAAUCCUUAUUCUUAAAAAAUUUGAUUUACCAAGAAGUUCCUGCGAUCUUGAGAAGCGAGCUCCCGCGCAACGUCGCAUCGAAGAGGAGGCUAGGACGGCGCUCCCCUCGGCCUAGUUGCGGGCGCGUGGAAGCCGUGCGAGGAGCCAGCCGAGGCGGCGGCGGUUCAUGGCGAGCGCCGGCUCCGGUGCAGACCAGCCCAGCGAGCACUUAUAUGGGCCGCGACUGGACUUUACAGGACGAUAUUUUUUGAAGGAGACAACGUUCUUCGCAUGUUUUUCUUCUUUAUCAUCCUCAUAAUCUUUGUUAACACAAUAAGAUAGAGAGAAGGAGAUGAGUGCGGGGUGAGAGAUUAGAUGAUAAUGUUUCUUUUUGCAUGAAAAAUAACAUGUCAUGCAAGAAAGAGGGGGUAGGGGGAUUAAUGGUGGAGGGGAGUAGAUUGGUGUUACAAAGCUCAUUAAUUGAUGAAAUAUAAUGCAUGUAAUUAAAUGUGGAGAGGUGAAGGGUUGAGCAUUUAGAAUUGGAGAUUAAUGGUGGAGGGGAGUGGAUUGGAAUUACAAAGCUCACUAAUUGAUAGAAUAUGAUGCAUGCAUUAAAUAUGGAGAGAUGAAGGGUUUAGCAUAGUAUUUAGAAGUGAGGAUUAAUAGUGGAGGGGAGUGGAUUGGAGUUACAAAACUCAAAUAUAAAAUAUAAUGCAUGUAAUUAAAUAUGAAAAGGUGAAGGGUUAAGUGGAGAAGAAACGUAAAUUUUAUAUUGAGAAUUCAUAUAAGAGAUAAAUAUUAUCUAUUAACCUAAGAAUGAAGGGUUUCUUGCCACGUGGCAAGAAACAUUGUGGAGUCAUUAUGUUUAAUAGAUAAUUUCAGUCACACAUAUUACAGUUAUAUUUAUUUAUUCUUAUUCAGAGUACCAAUCAUCAAAAUCUUUUAACCAAUGAGCGAAAUUCUACCGAUAGAAUUUCAACCUUUCCAAAAAUAAAAAAACAAGGACAAGUUGCUUCUCUACAAUCUUCACCUACAAUCUAUAAUAUAAGCAGAACAUGACUCUAAAAUGCUUUAAAACUCUUAUAAUUCUCUAAAAAGUAUGAUGUAUGAUUAUGAUAAAGGCUUGUCAUUUUCUUAUUCAAUAAAGCGAGGACCACAAGGAUUACUAUUACAUAAACCCUAGUGAUACAAAAACGAAUGCAAAUACAUCAUCACCUACCAAAAAUAUCAUCAAAAAGAACUUUUUACCAAUAAUCCAUGCAGGAGCACCCAUAGUCCCUAAAAUGAUGAAACCUAUUAUUAUCCCUAACAAUAAUCUCCCUCCCUAGAAUACCCGAAAUGAACUUAAAUGCGCGAUGGCAAUCCCCACAAACGCGAAGGUUCUUCGUGAUCCUGAUAGGUAUCCCUGGAGGGAUGCACAGGAGCCCGAAUGCGAGCGCGAGCUUCUCGCUGUGUUGGAUCACCUCGGUCUCCUUCUCCUCCUCUUCGAGAUCGUAGAGCGCGUAACCAGUGUCGGGUUUGUAUCCGGCCGCCUCCAUCUCUGUACGUAGCUUCGCCAGCAUGGCUUGGAUCUCCAUGCUCCGCUCGUGCGUCGUGUCCUUGGCCUGGAACACGUGGACCUCGUUCUUCCACGUGAUCCAGCUGCAGCCGGGGCCUUUCUUGAUCCCGACGUCCUUCAUCUCCUUCCUCACCUCUAUUGCUUCGUCCCACCUGAACAAGUUCAAAACGGAUCGCAACAUUAACUGCUUUGUACCGAACCGCAAAACAAGAUUGUGAAAAAGCCCAUCUCAUGAGUCAGUAUGCUGAAAAGCAUAGAGGAUCACGACACAAGAAGUGCCAAUAAAGAGUUAUUUUUCUUGCCCACUCCUUGUGAGAUCAGAAACAAAAAAGAAAAUGAAAGUGAGAGUGGUAACAGUUUGCUUUGAUUCUUUCUUUUUCUCCUAAGGCGAGAGAGUUCAACUGCAUUAGUAAACAAUACUUCACAAAAGCGAAAUAUUCAGAGCUAUGUGAACUCAAAAAGUCUACUCUCCAUAGCUAGCAAAUAUUCAAGACAUACAUAUUUAAAAUACUAGAAACUACCUUUUUGUAUGGUAACUGUUGAUCAGCAUAUGCUUGUAAUUCUUUUAUCUCAGAUAAUGUAGGUUAAUUAAAUUAACAGCUAAAACAAUUUAAUUGGAUAAGACAUAAAUGCAUAACAAGUUUUCCACAAGAAAAUAAGAGAGUAUACGGAAGAUCCAAACUGAAACACAUAUGUGGCAAAACAAUCAAAGUUCCUUUAGAAAUGAAGAAAGCGGUUUCAGCGAUUGCACAAGUCACACAGGAGUAAAAACUUAAACUAGUCAAUGGCAAAAUAUGUAGAUGGUGAAAACAAAAAAAAACAAGAACCUAUAAACCAUAUGCACUUUGGAAAUAGAAACCCCAACUUUGACACCAUGCCAGGUUUUCUCAUUUUGGUUUGAGUUAUUUUAUCAGUUGUACUGAAGAUUCUGUUAAAUUUGACAGCUUUUCUAGCUGUUAACUGUUAAUGCAACCUGCAAUCUCAUCAGCUGAAGAUUAGGCAGAGCGAUUAGCGGUUAAACAGAAUCCCUAUUCAGCUAGUGAAACAACUCAAAUCAAAAGGGGUAUCUGCGUUAUAAAAAGAAAUGAAGUUGAGGUCUUGGGGGUCUAUUCAAAAAAUGCCCUAUUGUUGACGGUUACACUUUUACCUAUUCAGAUCAACCUCUCCAGCAUGCAUUUUUAUUUUCUGCAACUAAAAAGUUAAGCUGAGAAAAUUUAGGAAUCUCACCUUCCUGCCGAGGCAAACAUGUUGGAGAGAAGCACAUGAUUGCCGGAAUCUUGCGGGUCGAGCUCAAACAACUUCUCUGCUGCGAUCCUCCCCAACUCCGUCUUCCUGUGCAUCUUACAAGACCCAAGAAGCGCCCCCCAGACAGAGAUGGACGGGGGGAUCGGCAUCUCCUUUAUGAACUCAUACGCCCUCUCCUCCAUCCCCGCACGCCCAAGCAAGUCCACCACACAAGCAUAGUGCUCAGUCCGCGGCUCAAUCCCAAACCUCUCCUUCAUCUUCUCAAACAACUCUAGGCCUUCGUCAGUGUACCCUCCCCUACUGCACGCGGUGAUCACGCUAACCAACGUCACAAAAUUGGGCGCAACCUCUCCGCUCGCCACCAUCUCGUCGAACAAGGCGAGCGCCGCGUCGGCACGCCCGUGCUGCGCGUACCCGCCGAUCAUGGCAUUCCACGAGACCAGAUUCCUCUCCGGCAUUUCGUCAAACGCCUUUUCUGCAUCUUCUACGCUCCCGCACUUCCCAUACAUGUCGACGAGGGAGCUUGCAACGAAGAUGUUGGCAUCAAUGCAGGCGCGAAAGGCCACCGCAUGGACGGAGCGGCCGAGGUCGAGGCCCGAUAGGCCGGAGCAAGUGGUCAAGACACUAGAAACCAUGUAGUCGGUAGGCUCCACUCCUUCGCUCCGCGCUUUCAAGUACAAUUUAAACGCGUCCUCCUCGGCGCCGUUCUGCGCGUAGACCACGAUCAUGGAACACCAGGAAACGACGUUCCUCAGGGGCAUCUCGUCGAACACGCCGCGCGCGUCGCGCGUGCGACGGCACUUGCCGUAGAAGUCGACGAGCGCGUUGCGCACAGACACGUCGGCGCAGAACCCGUACCGGCUCACGAAGCCGUGGAGCUGGGAGCCGAGGUCGGCGUAGGAGGCGCCGGCGCAGGCGUUGAGGAAGGCGCAGAGCGAGACGGUGUCGGGGCGCUCCCCGGCGCGGCGGAGGGCGAAGAAGGCGCGCACAGCGUCGUCGGGGCGGCCGUGGAGGACGGCGUUGGUCAUGACGGCGUUGAAGGAGACGGCGCUCGGGCGGGGCAUUUCGCCGAACAGGUUGCGGGCGUCGGCGGGGCGGCCGGUCUUGAGGUACAUGUCGAGGGCGGCGGAGGCGACGAAGGGGUCGGCGGGGAGGAGGCCGAGUCUGAGGGCGAGGGAGUGGAUCUGGGGGCCCGAGGAGGGUGGGGAGAGGGGGGAGGAGGAGGCUUUGAGGGCGCAGGGGAGGGUGAAGUGGUUGGGGCGGACGGAGCGGCGGAGCAUGGCGGGGAGGAGGCGGAGGGCAAGGAGGGGGCGGUGGUGCUGGGCGGCGCCGGAGAUGAGGGCGGUGAAGGAGACGACGGAGGGGGAGGGGUGGAGGAGGAGGAGGGAGGAGGCUGGGGAGGGGAGGUCGAGCUUGGAGUAGAGGUUGAUGAGGUGGUUGGAGAGGAAGCAAGGGAGCGGCGAGGGGAGGAGUCGAACGGCGGCGGCGUGGGCGGCGCGGCCCAGCGCGGCGGACCGCGUCGACACGGCGAGCUCGAUCGCCGCCGCCAGGGACUGCGCGUCGCGGCGGGGAAGAAGCAUCGGCUGCGUCCAUCAACUCGCGCUGUGGCUUCCGACCGUUGCCGCGCUCCUGCGUACGUAUGUAUAAUGGGCACAUUGUAGUAGCAUCGGCGAAUUAUGACCGGUAGUCGCUGCCGAGUUCUUCAGUUCGGGUAAAUUCGGCGAUCCCAGUUGCCUUGCUGCCGAAUUAAGGGAAAAUCGGUGGUUUCACGUAUAAUGAUGAGGAGAUGAUUCAAUUUUUAAUGGAAAACUUCAAAUACUACUGCCAUGAUUUCGUACCUUUUUUUAUUUUAGUAUUCUAUAGUUUAAAGUGUACCACUUUAGUAUUUUAUAAUUUUAUUUUAAUUUUUUGGUCAGUGCCACCGUUAAAACUUCGUUAAAUCAUAUAUAAAAAAUUUUAAAUAUCCUCUCCAUCAUUUACCAAAUAUUUACUUUAGUACCCUAUAGUUUAUCAAAUUUUUAUUUAGUAUCGUAUGAUUUUAACUUUGUUACUGAUUAAAUGAAAAAAUUAACCCAAAGAAUAACGGAAAGAAAAAAAACGAAACCACGGAAUACUAAAAUAAGAAAUAGUAGAAUCACAGGAAUAGUAUUGGAAGUUUUUUUUUUUUGUUAAUUAUUUAUUCUUUAGAAUCGUUUAGUUUGUAUGCAACUUGGAACCGGCCGUGUGGCUUGCACAGAAAAUUUGAAGCAAUGUGUUGACCUUCCUCCAAAUUAUAAUAGUAGAGCUUACAGAUUUCAUAAAUUUGAAGAAUUUCAUAGGAGGUAGGCAUAUUGCCAAAUAAAGACUACCAUGAUUCAGAAUAAGCCUGGGAAUUUAUUUAAAUUCAAAUUGUAAUCAUUUCGAUCCCGAAAACAAUUCUUGGUGGCAGAAGAUGGAUGGAAGGUAAAGCUCAGAAACUUUUGCUAUGCAUGUGGAGCUUCUUACCAAAGCACUUUUGCUCAAAUAAGGUUAAAGAAGAGCAAAGAACAAUCAGAAGAAAAAUGAAGUGUAUCACCAUACACCAUAGGCUAUAAUUACAGCAAAGAGCAGCUUAUUAAGAUAGUACAUUAUCCAGGUUACUUAAAAGCUUUAAAGAUCGAGUCAUACCACAUUUUCAAUCUAAUUUCCGCAUUUCACUCUCCCACUUUCAAUAAUAAUAUCCAACAAAAGAUAUAGAUAUAAACUUCCACAACAUCAGAGAUGUCAAAGAUGCUCAAUAUCAAGAGAUUUUGAAGGCUUCAUCCAUGACAUCCAUCAAACCGACGCAAAAUAUCACAUUUACAAUUCAAGGAUGUGUUUUAGAAAGUGACAAAAAAAAAAAGAAAUUACAAAAACAGAGGUGUAGUGUGAUUCUUUAAUUCAUCAUAGAACACAAGUUGACAUCUGUUUGCUGAAAAGAAAUUCUGCUUGCUUGUAUCUGUUUUAGGGUUUGGGGGAAAAAAAAAAAACAAGAAGAAAAUGAAACAAAUAAACUUAGAUUGUUGUAGAUCAUUCUUCAUGAAUCUAAAUUUGGCAAAUGUAAUUCAAUAUUUUUGUGAUUUAUAGACUAACAAAAAUUAUACUAGUUAGGUAUCUAUCUAAUGUCCCUGUUGCUUAAAUGUUAUGACUGUUGAAUUGGAAAGCUACUGAGUAAUAUCCAAUGAAAUUAGAACAUAAAACUCAGUACUAGCAUGUCCAAGCUUGCUGAACAACCUGAAUCAGACUGAAAUAUUCCGGUCCCUUUUUAGUUUGCUUUCGAAUGUUAUUUGGUUCAGUUUGGUUCCACAAGUAUAUUGUCGACCCUAUCUGUGCCCAAAAACCAACUGAGCUAAUCCAAAACACACACCCUAUCCAAACUUGAGGGUAGAAAAACUUGAAAAAAGAUGUUCAGAAUCUACUCUAGCAAGUUUUCUCCGACUAUUAGCUAUUUCUUACAAUGGCUUUAAUCUAGUUUGGUAAUAUACUUGUGCAAAAAAUAAACUAACAGCAUAGAGCUUAAUAAUCAGAUUUUCAUCAAAGUCAAAUCAGUAGCAAAUCGUAAGAAGGCAAAAGCGGAAUGUGGAGAAUUAAGAAAAAAAUUUCCUAUACUUCACCAGUACUUAAAUGAAUACAUAAAGCCACAGGUGCUCAUAGCACAAAACAUGUAACAAUAAGUUGGACCUCGGCUAAAAAUGUUCUUGAGGAAAAAAAAUCCUGUAGUUGCAAUACCUACACUAUAACUGCUGAAGAAUGAGGGGCAUAAUAAGGCUAAUAACAGUAAAGGUGCUGCUGAUUAAAAAAAAAAAGUAUCAAAAAAAAUAUUAUAAUAAACAAGAGCAAAAUACAAUAUACCUGAAGGAAACUCAUCCAUCAAUCCAUCUGUAUACUAUUAAAAUUCCAAAAAGGGGGCUCACCUGACAAUAGUAUAAAGCUCAAACUGCAGCCUGAGAGCUUCCCUCAGAAGCCGUUGUUGCUCCUACCAAUUCCCAAGAAGCCAAUUCCUUUUGCUUAUCAAUUGUUUCUGGCUCCAAUUCAUUACUUGGAAAAACUUCCAAUUGCAAAGAUGGGGCAAUGUUCUCUACAUGCGGCCACGUUAAUUCCCACAAGCUGCUUCCAUCGGAAGUGCUCCUCUUAACAAGCACCCCAUUUGCUUUCAUCACAAGCAGCGUGUUCUUGAGAAGCUCCGGAACAGCUUCUUGCAGCUUCUCCAUCUUCCUACCCCUCAUUCUGGCUUUCAUGUAACUCUCCAAAUGUUCAAGAACCCCCAACCACAGUUUGCUGAAGCUGCUUUCCCCUGAAACAUCUUGCAAUGACUGUAAAAAAACCUUCGACAGUAACUUCACUGCAUGAAGAAGAGAGCUCUCCAUAUUACGAAAGUCUUUAGGUGAAUAAGUUUGUGCAAUUUCCAACAAUUCAUCGAGCAAAUGGAAAACAAUGUCGAAAGAUUGUAACCAUGUUAAAGGUGAAAGAUAAAUCCCUUCAAUUCCAACCAAACAUCUCUGUAACGAUAAUAAUGCGUGAUUCCUCACUUCUUCUCUCUGGUCUACGCAAACUUUUUUUAGUGCUUGUACCAGCCUCAGCCACAUCUCUCUGAUACCUUCUAAUAUCCUUUCAGCUUCUCCACCCACUUCCUUAACCUCGCGAGCCCAGCGAGCGAGACAAGAAACUGACUCCCCCAUUAGAUCUAGGGCAUGGACUGACCUUUCUGUUAACCCAAGUCGAGAUUCUGCAAACUGUCUAGAAGCUUCUAUACAGAGAAUGAAGUUGGCCGGUGACAGGUGGGCCCCUUCGGACAUAAUAAAUACCAGAGCCUCAAAACCCACAUCAGAAGCAUCUGGGUGCCGAGCAGUAAUGGAAAGUAAGGAAAUUAUGGUUCGCCAACCUGUUUGGGACUUGAUAUGGGUUGCAUUCGCCUUCACCAACCGCGUGACUUCUUGUGUGAUGUUUUCACAAUAUGCAUCGGCUACUCGGGCAUCAAGCUUCAAAAUCAACUGUAGAGACUUCAAUAAAUCGUCUACCAGGUUUUCCUUAUAGGGGAGUAACCUCUGGCAAAUCCGAAGGAGCCCAAAGACAGCUUUUUCCACCAGAUUGCAAGGCAUCACAGUGCACUGAACAAUAUGUGCUAUGUGCUCAUAAACACCCUGCCAGAGUAGAACAAUCCUAUCUCGAUUGUUUAAUGUGACGGCAAUCAGUAAUUCCAAGCAGAAUACUGCUGUGUCUUCUUCCUCAAGUCCGCUAGUGAUUCUCUGGGGACGGCCUGCUGCUCUAAUCAAGGACUCCGCAAGAUGUGAUAAUGACUCGGCUUGUAAAAACUUGCUUUCUGUGAAUAUAUUGCCUGUCCGGCACUUUUGUAUUGUCUCGAGAGCUCUUCGUUGAGCAGCUAGCUGCUCUUCAGUAGGUUGCGAUCUUGAUUCUUCUGUAUCCAAAUUUAAGAACAGGCUGAAUCGACCCAUAAGUCCAUAUGCUCUUUUUGGGGUACUAACUGAUGAAGUUUGAGACGUUGUUGAAAGGGCCGAAGGAAUAGGGUUGGCAAGAAAAGAAGAAUCUGGAGAAGAUUCUGGAUCAUCAGCUGCUUCGUCACCGGUAAUGCGUGAAGAUAUAAGCCCUAACUUGUGCAAGCUUAAGAUGCAAUCGAUUAUGCUCUUCCACCCAUUCCGAAUAUAAUCACCAUAUGUGUUUGCUAUAGUGAAGACCGUUUCAGUCGCCAUCCUCGCUCUUGUAUCCUCACCAAAAGCUAUGACGGGUUCAUCAAUUAAAGAUGAGUUUAAAAGAGUGGUGAAUUUGCAAAGAGCCACAACAAGAUCAUCCAGUACAUCUAUGAGAUGGUGGGCCCCAGCUAUCUUCGCAACCGCCAAGAAACCAUCAACACAUUUUAGAAGAACUUCUUCAUAUUCCCCAUAAUCAAACACCACAGAGAUGGCAGCAAUGGUGGGGCCUGCCAUGAUUGCAAACAUGUCGCGAUCGAGGAAAGGGCAGGACUCACAAAGUAUGUAAGGUGAUGUGUUCUUCGACUUCUGCAUUAUGUCAACCCAUCGGCUUAAAGACAUCUCGUGGAAUCCAACCCCCUGCUGUGGAAUUGUUCUUAUCUCAUUUCUGCAUAUAGAAUAAUACUGCUCUGAUAAGAACUCCCUUGGAAGAUCGUUGCCACCAUUAAUUCCGCGAUUGUUCCUAAUAAAGUCCUCUUCAGACAUCUUCCUCUUCACCUGCACAUUGUGCUGAUCUGUGUUCAGCAAAAUAAGCGAGUAUGAGAGCAAGAGAGCAGCAUCUUUAUUAGCUAAUACUUGUGGCGAUUGCUCAUAAUAUCUCUCUGCAAAAGCCUCAAGAAUUCUCUGAAUUUUCUGAGAUUCACCGGGCAAUCGGAAGGUCUCGAGAAAGAGUCUAAGGGCAGCAUCCAAAUUCAUUCCUUCGAAAUCAAAGGUUUGAGCGAAUUCAUGAAGGACUCGAAUAUAGAACUCAUCGUGGCUACCCAAAAAGUCCCCAAUGAGGUUCUUGUCUAAUCCAGAACUGUACCGAAAGAACAGAGCGACACUUUGGGGGUCGAGCUUAUCAGGCAAGAGAUGAACGCCUUGUAGAAACUCAAAUCCCUUCUUUGGGUCCCUGUUAAAAUGAUCUACACCGACCAUUAACUUUUUCUUGAUGUACUUCCUGUGGCGAAUGAAUCUGACCCACUGAUCUGGAUCAGCGUAGUUCUCGCACUUAGCCAACCAAAAGGGGAAAUAUUCUUCAAUUUCUGUUGAAAUUUCCUCUGAAUUUCGAGGCGCAUUGUCUACUCUCUCCGCGAUUCCUUGAAUCACAGCAACUAAACCAUCCAAGGCAAGAACAUGUAAAGAAGAUAAGGAACUGUUAACCGGGAAUGCAUUUUUUGAAAGAAGGUUAGUGAGAUCUUCAAAAAUAUUACUGCAUAGUAUGUCACAAUCCAUGUUUGCAUACAUUUCUACCAUAAAAUUCUCAUGCCUGCAGAAAUCAACGAGAGCCUCCAUCGCCACCUCCUGUUGCUGAUAACUAGAUCCAUAUCGACUCUGAGCCAGUAUUAAAAUCACACACGAGAAGAAAGUCUCGAGCUGCACCUUUAAUUCAUCGCGCAAAUGAUAGAAGAGAUUGAGAACGAUACUACAUACAGUUGAGAGAACCAACGGGCUUCUUGACAAGCCAAACUGCAUGAGGUUAUGGAAUAGCUCGUCUUUUACCAAAUUCAGCAGUUUGGGGUGCCUGUUUAUUGCGGAACCGCCCAAUUCGAUGGCCGAAUUGAUCAAACCAAGGGCGAAAAGAGGCAAGUCUUCAUCGAAUGCAAUUGGGUUCACUCUAGGGUUCAUGUCAAUAUCUUCUGUACUGUUCAGAAGAGAGCAUAGGAACUGAAAUAACUCCACCAUGCAAGGAAUACCAUAAGGUUCAUUCACGACCUUCAUAUCCACAUGCAUUGCCAUCUCGUUGGCAGAACUCGUCAAAGCUCCAUUAUCAUUAUUACCAUUCUCAUACUGCUUCGACUCAAACCCAAAAGUUUGAUCCUUGUCAAGCCCACCAAUCUGCACAAAGGAUUUCAUCUUUAACUUAAUGGUCAAAUUAUCAAAAUAGAGAAAAUUAAAAUCUCCUUUAUGUUGGAGUUAAAAUUAAAAAACCAAUAUUCCUUUUUCCUACUUGCAGUUUGUUUCAUACUCCUAUCAACCAUUCAAUAAAUGUUUCAUUCGAGAUUUUUGUAGCCAUGGCAAUAUGUUUCCAACAAAUGUAAUAAAAAUUGAAUCAUGAUAAACCAUGCUGUUUGGCCCUGCUGUAGGGUGUAGGUUUGUAAUAGGAAGUGUUGUGAGAGUAGUGACUUUAUAAAAUGCAUUACAUCAAAACGCCUUCAAUAGAUUCUCAUCGCAGUAAAAGUAGAAGCAGCAAAUUAGAGCUUUUGCUUUUGGGCCUUCUUGUUCUAGCAAAAGCACUAGACCAUUGUAUUUGCCAAAGUAAUAUUGGAGAUACAGAAAGUAAGUUACAUUAUAAUUCGCGAGAGAGACAAGCACCUGUCGGGCCUCAGAAUCUCCGACCCCGUUAGCUACCGACGGCCCAUCAGCCGCGCCAUCCACCGGCAUAUCGGGCAACCGGGUAAAGAUGCACCGGACGAGCUCCUGCAUAGUGUGGCGGGAGACGCGCUGGAGCAGCUCGCCCUUCGUGGCCGCCUGCUGCACAAUCCGGAAGAAGGUGUUGACGACGGUGCACACCUGGCGGUGGCCGAGCAGGGCCCCCGCGCGGCCCCGCACGCACGCGAGCAGCACGUGCAGGAUCUUCAUCAAAACGUCCUCCUCCGACGCCGGGUCCGUCACCUCGAACCGGCACCCGGCCACGGCGUCCACCACGGCGCUCGCCGCAGCCGCAGCCGCGGCGGCGGCGGCGGCGGCGGCCCCGGCCCCGGGGUCGAGCGCGUCGAGGGCGAGGAUCUUGCGCACCGACGAGAGCGCCGCGCCGGUGAUCGGCGCGCCGGUCUCGUCGGAGCGGAUCACGUCGAGGAAGGGCUUCAGGUACAGGAUCGGGUCCACGGCGCGCCACCGCCGCGGGUCCCAGGAGAGGACCCGGCGCCUUAGGGUUUUGAGGGCGCGCACCAGAUGGUGGUCGAGGUAUUCGUCGGCGCCGGCGUCGUCGCCGUAGCGGACGCCGACGGCGGCGGAGGAGGCUGCGGCGCCGCCGGCCCAGCGGACGUUGGCGCGCAUGACGGCGAGGAGGGUGGCGACCUCGGAGAUGACGACGCAAGGCAUGGCGACGGGGGUGCCCGGAUCGGAGUUCGGGUGCUUGGAUCCGGCCAUGGCGGCGGCGAAUUGGGGACGACGACGCGGGGAUGGGAUCUGUUGGAGCGCCCACCCAACGGGGAUCGAGUGGGGUGGGGGAGGGGGCUACGAGGGCAUGUGAGGCGAAAGGUGGGAUCCUGGAGAGGGGGAAUCAGUGGGAUUGGGGGAGGAGGAGGAGGAGGAGGAGGAGGAGGGUUUGAGGAGAAUUAGAACGACGACGCCAUUGGAGAUCUCGGUGUUGAGGGUGUGGAGAGAGCUCCGAUCUCCCGCACCUCUAACCUUCGAAUCUCGGAAGGGAGGUUUUUCUUUUAUUUUUCUUUUUUUUUUAAGAAAAAAAUUAUACUAUUAUUUUACUAAUAUUCCACGGAGUCUUCUGUGUAAUUUGCANAAAAAAAAAAAAAAAAAAAAAAAACAAGUAUCGACACUUCAGAUUUAGUCCCACAUUGAAUAAAAACAUAUAUCGUACACACAUGUAAUGGUGAAUAUAUGUAAAUUAAUAGAUUAUAGUAUUUUGGAAUUGUGGAUUUGGCCUAAUAAAUUACUAACUAAGCUGUGAGCUCAGAAAGAAGCAGCUCUAUAAUUUUCAUGCAAUAGUUUCCCUAUAUAACAUAACACAUUUAGUUUGUAUUUAUUUUUAUUUUUUUUACUGUCACAACAACUUUAAUAUUUUUUUAUUUAUCAAAUUUUUAAUGAUCAGGCUAGUGCAACUAAUAACAAAAGCUCAUUAGGUGUUGAUAUGUCGUAAUCUUUUCAUAUACAUAUCAUUUCCCACUGCAUUUGGUGGUGAGAGUACAGUGUAAAUUGCAGAAAAUAUUCUUUAUAUUUUGCAUUUUGAAAUUUUACCCUCUCAAUAUUUUGCAGUAAAUUACUUGCAACUUCUACAUUAUAAUAAUCAUUUAAACUCUUCCAAUUUCUAUUCAUGUUGUACUUCAAAAGCGUAAUAUUCCGCAUUCUUUUGUAUCCAUUUAAACAGUUUACAAGAUAAUAAAAUUGUUAGUUUUAAUUUUUAAAACAGUGAUUUAAAAUUUCUAUUUAGCCCUUUGACUUUCUGGGCAGCCCAAUAUCAUACGGGCCUUAUUUAGGAGCCCGUGCAUUGAUUUCCACAUAUGAGGUUUAAUUCCAUAUUAGAAACCAAAGGCAUCGUUAUUUUUUUUUAUAUUUUACUUUAUUCUUAAGUUAAUUACUUGCGAAACUAUGAGAGUAAAGCUCUCGACUAAACACAAACACACGAGCACGAGUCGAGCCGGGCGGGCAGCGGCGCGCAUGAACCCAAUUCACUUAUUUUUUUCUUUAUAUUUUAUUUAAACCUAAUGAUCACCUUACAUUGGUGUUAUGGUAUUUUAACCAAAUCUUACCUUUGGACCCUACUGCUAGACCUUACCUGCAUAAGAGGGGAGGACUGAACCUACGGCUAGACCUUACCUGUAUAAGAGAGGAGGACUGAACCUACGGCUAGACCUUACCUGUAUAAGAGGGGAGGACUGAACCUACCUCUAAAUCAUUUUCUUCUUUAUCUUUCUUUUUUGCCUUCUUUCUACAUUGAACUUUAUAUUGUCAUUUUUGUUGGAUCUCUUGCCUUCUUUCUACAUUGAACUUUAUAUUGUCAUUUUUGUUGGAUCUCUAAAAGCUUAUUGCCUUGAAAAUCUAUUGGGCCGACGAGGUGGAAAAUGGUCGUUGUAUCGCUAGAAGUAAUUGCCGGAGCAUCUAAUCUCUUAACCUCUACAUUUUACUAAAGAUUUAGAAAGAUAUU